rnacentral:lncRNA from 1 species
CGGCUCCCAGGAUGAACUUGUUGGUUUGGUGCGAAUGUGUUCAGCACGUCAUCAAUCACGGGUUCGAGGGGAGCUGGUACCAAGUCGGAAGCAACGUACAGGAAUUGUGUGUGUGUGUAUAUAUGGACCUGUCUAUGGUACAGAUUCUGUAACAAACAUCUCCCGUCAUCCCACCAUCCGAUCUUCUAUUGUUUAGUUUCUCACUCCACAUCCAACGGCUGAUGCUGCAGUCCGUAGCUUACAUGAAAAAAGGUAUUACAAAAUACCUUCUUUUUAUCACAAAUGCAAAAAAGUUAUUAUUAUUUUUUAUUGAUUUCUUAUUAAUAAGAGAUUUGAAAAGUAUAAACGUCUUAUUAUAUAUAAACCUAGUUUUUUUUGUUUAAGGAUAUCAAACAUUCAGUCAUAAUCUUGUUUUCUUUUUUUUCCUUUUGCUUGUCAUAUAUGCAAUGACGAGAUCUACGUCAUGAGAAAAGCAAUAAUGGAAUCACAUAUGGAGUUGAUCUUGAUGAUUCAAGUUGAAAAAGGAAUUUAUGUAUCUAUUCAUGAAGUGUAAUGACCUUUAUAUUAUGACAAACUUAGAAGAUACAAAUAUCCUUUUUCUUGUAUUAGAGAAUUUCAGUGGGUAUUUAUAAGUUCAUACUUUAAUCACAUUACUAGAGAUUGAAGAAAUUUGAGAUCUUACAAUGAAUUAUAUUUUUUUUUUUUUAAAAAAAAAACAAUCAUCUUAGGGCCAGUUUGAUAAUACUAUAACUUUUAAAAUAAUGGUUGUUAAUUAUGCAAUUGUAAAGAGAAUCAAUUAAACGUUUGGUAAUAUUUAUUUUUAAAAGCACUAUGGGUUUUGAAAGUAAUUAUAUAUGUUUAGUAAAUCUUACUAUUAAACUGCUGUAAAAAUAUAAAUAACUGAAAUAGACUUGAUAUCAAAUAAAUUUUAUUUAUCGAUUUAUAAACACGUAUGUAAAAUAUUUUUUAUUGUGUAUAUAAGAAUUGAUAACUAAAAUAAAUAUUUUCUUAUGAUUUUGAUUUUUAUCUUGUCAUCUCAAUGCAAUUGUCAAUAAUAAUAAUCUCUUCAAUUUUAAUGAUAUUUCCUAAUUGAUAAGGAUAAUUUUAUAUUUUUAUCAUAAGUGUGUGUAUAUAAAUUUUAUUAAGUAUAAACCUAAUUUAAAAAUCAGAUUUUUGAAAAUAAUCUCAUUUCCUACUUUUUCAAAACAUGUUAUAGGAUAGGGUGAUUUGCCAAAAGUGAUUUUUUAAAAAAAAUUUGAGCCUUCUAAAUGUAAUUCCAAUUGAGCUCUUUGUAUCUAAAUAUUAUUGGAAAAAUGAUAUUAUAUUAAUAAUAAUUGGUAACAUUAAGGUGGCAUUUAUUUUUUUCUUUGUGGGUUUGCAAUUUAAAAGGAUCUAGAUUUUUUUAAAGUUAAAAUACAAGUAUCCAAAUAAUUUUUUUUUUAAUAUCUCAAUAUAGGUGACAUCUUAUUUAAAAAUGACUUAUUUUAAAUACAACAUCUUAUUUUAAUUCUUUUUCAAAUAAUAUGUGAAAAAUUAGUGUCAGAAGCAUUGGUUUCAUUUCAUCAUUUAUUCUUAAUUCAAAACUUUGCAAGUCAAAAUAUAAAAAAAUUUACGGAACAAAAGGUAAAUGUGAUACAAUUCAUCACCAGCUCCCAGCGUGAUCUUGUUGGCUUGGUGCCAAUAUGUUCAGCACGUCAUCAAUCACGGGUUCGAGGGGAGCUGGUACCAAGUCGGAAGCAACGUACAGGAAUUGUGUGUGUGUGUACAUAUCUACGGACCUGUCUAUGUUACAGAUUCUGUAACAAACAUCUCCCGUCAUCCCACCAUCCGAUCUUCUAUUGUUUAGUUUCUCACUCCACAUCCAACGGCUGAUGCUGCAGUCUGUAGCUUCAAGUCCUAUAUAUAUAUGUAUGUUCUUACAUGAAAAAAGGUAUUACAAAAUACCUUCUUUUUAUCACAAAUGCAAAAAAGUUAUUAUUAUUUUUUAUUGAUUUCUUAUUAAUAAGAGAUUUGAAAAGUAUAAGCGUCUUAUUAUAUAUAAACCUAGUUUCUUUUGUUUAAGGAUAUCAAACAUUCAGUCAUAAUUUUUUUUUUUUUUUUGACCUUUUGGUUGUCAUAUAUGCAAUGAUGAGAUCAACGUCAUGAGAGAAGCAAUAAUGGAACCACACAUUCGGAGUUGAUCUUGAUGAUUCAAAUUGAAAAAAGAAUUUAUGUAUCUAUUGAUAAAGUGUAGUGACCUUUAUAUUAUGACAAACUUAAAAGAUACAAACAUCAUUUUCCUGUAUUAGAGAAUUUCAGUGGGUAUUUAUAAGUUCAUACUUUAAUCACAUCACUAGAGAUUGAAGAAAUUUGAGAUCUUACAAGGAAUUAUAUUUUUUUCAAAAAAAAAAAAAAUACAAUCAUCUUAAGGUCAGUUUGAUAAUACUAUAACUUUUAAAAUAAUUGUUGUUAAUUAUACAAUUGCGAAGAGAAUCAAUUAAACGUUUGGUAAUAUUUAUUUUUAAAAGCACUAUGGAUUUUUUUCCAAUGUAUAAUGUGUAUAGUGUAAAAUUUACUGAAAUAUAUGCCUAUUGCCAGAAAUUUGAAAGAACGAGCUUGUAUUAUUGAUAUUCCACUGCUCAAUUUUAUAUAUACAAUGGCCUUGUACUACAUUUACAGCUGGUGAAUAAUGCAUGUAUUGAAUUCGUACUUCAUCCCUUGCUGUUAAUCCUAGGGCUGAGAUUUAAGGGUAAAUGAUAAUACAAAGGUAAUAAGGUUCGUUAUGCACUUCUGUUUUAUUCACUGUUCAAUUCAGACCCCCUUAAUUCUUUGAUUCCAGUCUUGACCAUUGAUCUUCUUAAAAUCUUAAGACAUUUCAUCCUUCUACAAGUAUCAGGGACUAUCUUCUUGAAUGCUCGCUAGUGACUAUUUAGUUCCUGAAUUCAAAUACUCGCCAAGAGACUCUUCAUUGAGGCAUUUCAUCAAACGCUUUUAUACUUCCAUCAAACACUUGUUGCUUUAACUAUAAAAAAAGAAAAAAAAAUGGUGUUCACUGUUGUUUUGACCAAACUUCUCAUAACUCGGUGGUAUGGUGCUUCAAGAACCGUUUAACUUGGUCUUAGGUUCGAGAAGGUUGGUAGCUAAAUUUAGUUCAACUCCAUUAUGAUCCAUCUUCAUCAUUUACAACUUAAUUAAUGAUGCAUUCAAAAAUUAAUAAUGUUAUGUAUGAUUAGUUAAGAUAUUUAGUUUAUAUUUUAGUCAAUGUAAGAAAUGAUAUAUCACUAUUUGAUUUAUUUAAAUGGGGCAAAACUAUGUUGCAACAGUGGUACGGUACCACUGUUGCUUUCAGCCAUUGGAUCUUGCUAAUACAACUGUACAACUAUACAUCCAAUGACUGGUUGCAACUGUAAUACCAUACCACUGUUGCAACAUAGCUGGACCCAUUUAAAUGAUAGUUAAGUCAUAUCAUAUUUAAUUCAAAUGGUAAAAUUUUAUUAGUGAUGCAUCAAUUAGAAUACGAAUUAAUAUACCCUAAUUGAAUAAGUAUAAUAUUAUUAUUUAAAAAUGACUUGUUUUAAAUACAACGUCUUAUUUUAAUUCUUUUUCAAAUAAUAUGUGAAAAAUUAGUGUCAGAAGCAUUGGUUUCAUUUCAUCAUUUAUUCUUAAUUCAAAACUUUGCAAGUCAAAAUAUAAAAAAAUUUACGGAACAAAAGGUAAAUGUGAUACAAUUCAUCACCAGCUCCCAGCGUGAUCUUGUUGGCUUGGUGCCAAUAUGUUCAGCACGUCAUCAAUCACGGGUUCGAGGGGAGCUGGUACCAAAUCAGAAGCAACGUACAGGAAUUGUGUGUGACCUGCCUAUGGUACAGAUUCUGUACCUAACAUCUCCCGUACCCCACCGUCCCAUUUUCUAUGGUUUAAUAUCUCACUCCACAUCCAACCACAUCCAACGGCUGAUGCUGCAGUCUGUAGCUUACAGAUUCUGUAAGCUAGUCGAGUCCAUAUUUGUAUGUUCUUACGUGAAAAAAGGUAUUACAAAAUACCUUCUUUUUAUCACAAAUGCAAAAAGUUAUUAUUUUUUAUUGAUUUCUUAUUAAUAAGAGAUUUGAAAAGUAUAAACGUCUUAUUAUAUAUAAACCUAGUUUCUUUUGUUUAAGGAUAUCAAACAUUCAGUCAUAAUCUUUUUUUUUUUUUUUUCCUUUUGCUUGUCAUAUGUGAAAUGACGAGAUCUAUGUCAUGAGAGAAGCAAUAAUGGAAUCACAUAUGGAGUUGAUCUUGAUGAUUCAAGUUGAAAAAAGGAAUUUAUGUAUCUAUUCAUGAAGUGUAAUGACCUUUAUAUUAUGACAAACUUAGAGGAUACAAAUAUCCUUUUACUUGUAUUAGAGAAUUUCAGUGGGUAUUUAUAAGUUCAUACUUUAAUCACAUCACUAGAGAUUGAAGAAAUUUAAGAUCUUACGAAGGAAUUAUAUUUUUUUCAAAAAAAAAAAAAAUACAAUCAUCUUAGGGCCAGUUUGAUAAUGCUAUAACUUUUGAAAUAAUUGUUGUUAAUUAUGCAAUUAUGAAGAGAAUCAAUUAAACGUUUGGUAAUAUUUAUUUUUAAAAGUACUAUGGAUUUUGAAAGCAAUCAUAUAUAUUUAGUAAAUCUUACUAUUAAACUGCUAUAAGAAAUAUAAAUAACUGAAAUAAACUUGAUAUCAAAUAAAUUUUAUUUAUCUAUUUAUAAACACGUAUGUAAAAUAUUUUUUAUUGUGUAUAUAAGAACUGAUAACUAAAAUAAAUAUUUUCUUAUGAUUUUGAUUUUUAUCUUGUCGUCUCAAUGUAAUUGCCAAUAAUAAUAAUCUCUUCAAUUUUAAUGAAUUUUCCUAAUUAAUAAGGAUAAUUUUAGAUUUUUAUCAUAAGUGUGUGUAUAAAUUUUAUUAAGUAUAAAAAUAAUUUAAAAAUCAGAUUUUUGAAAAUAAACUCAUUUCCUACUUUUCCAAAACAUGCUAGAGGAUAGGGUAAUUUGCCAAAAGUGAUUUUUUUUAAAAAAAUUGAGCCUUCUAAAUGUAAUUCCAAAUGAGCUCUUAGUAUCUAAAUAUUAUUGGAAAAAUGAUACUAUAUUAAAAAAAUAAGAAAUAAUAAUUGGUAACACUAAGGUGGCAUUUAUUUUUUUCUUUGUGGGUCUGCAAUUUGAAAGGGUCUAGAUUUUUUUAAAGUCAAAAUACAAUUAUCCAAAUGAUAUGUUUUUUUUUAAUAUUUCAAUAUAAGUGGCAUCUUAAUUUUUUAUGAAUAAAAAAUAUCUUAGAUAUGAUUAUUUGACAUUUAUAUCCUUGUAAAUCAAAAUAAAGAGAGAUAGAAAAAUUAGAUUUUAUGGUUCAGGAAAUAAUUAUAUUUAAUAAAGAUAGUUUUGAAAUAUAAUAUUUACUUUUCAUUCAGAUAAAACUUAUAAAAGUUCACGUAUUCUAUUUAGAUGUAAAUAUUUAAAAAUCAAACAUAAUUAAAAAAAACUGAAAUUAAUAAAAUUUCGGACUUGACGUUUAACAAACAUAUGGCAUUUUUCUUUUAAGGCAUAGACUUAAUUGAAGAGCGGUUUACAAAGCUAUAUUUGUUUUUAAGACAUAAACUUAAUUAAAUUCAUUUGAGACCACUUAUGGCUACCACAAAAACUUAUUUGAUAACAAGACUAUAUAUUUAUGUGUGUUAGAAUAAGUGAUAUAACUCACCACCAACUCUCAUUAUGGUCUUGGUGGCAUUGGUACUUACUAAUAAUUAUUUCACCAUGUCAUCGAGUCUUGCCUUCAAUAGAGGUAUUGUAAGAGCAUCUCCAAAAGUCUCUAUAAAUUUUAUUCUUCAAAUACAUAUUUGCUUACCUAUGUGGCAAAUAGAAGGGUGAAAAAAUAUGAUAUUCUCCAAAAGACUCUUCAAAUAUAAAUAAGUUAAUAUUAUUUUAAUCAUAUAAUUAGUUUUUUAAAGGAAACGUCAAUAGCAAUUAAAACACUUCUCUCUCUUUCUUCAAUGAAAAGUAAUAAAAUAUAAAUUAAAGAUGGAGAAAUUAACUCUCCAAAUUUGAAGAGAGAGAAUCAAUUUUUAUUUGAAGAAUCUUAAUUGGAGUGUCUUUUGGAGCUUUAAAUAUUGAUGUGGCUCUUCAAAUAAGUAAUAAAAUCUUAUUUGAAAAGUCUUUUGGUGAUGCUCUUAUACCACUUUUUUAUUAUAUAUAUUUGCUUAAAUCUUAUUUAAAAAGAAUAAAAUUAUCCUUGAAAUUUUACUCAUUCGAUUAAAUAUAAAAUUUUCAUAUCCUUUUCUUCCACCUCUUGCUUCCACUGUUACAAGUCAAAUCAAUGGACUAACUCUUUGGGAUAAUCCCAUAUACAGUUGAUUAACUAGUUUUUAAAUUAUAACUUGCUAAUAUUCAAUUCAAUGCAGUUCAAUUCUAUAUCAAUUCCACAAAAUUUCGAUAUAUUCUGCUCAUUUGGUUGGCCACUCUUGUUGUGGGAGAAGGUCAAGGUUGAAUUUCAAAGUUAUACAUAACUUAUAUUUAUACAAAUUACGACUGUUUUACCGUGGUUUCUCUAGUCAUGAGUGUGCUUUACGCUUAUAGUCAACAAAGUUCUAGUAAAAAUUCGAAUAAUAAUUUGGUGUAUUUAGGGAUGCGUUAUAUAAAAUUUUUGGGACUAUUUUAACAAUAAUGAUGAAAUGACACUGUGUAUAGUUUGAAGUGCUUCAACAAGUAUCUAGGUUUCGGAAGAAACACAGAAAAUAGAGUACUAUUUCAUCAGAACUAAAUUUUACGAGUUAUAAAAGUUUUUACUCCCCAUUAACUUAUAAUUUUUGUCAAAGAAAAUAAAACAAGUGAAAAAAUGAUUGUUUCACAGCCCACACCACGAGGUUGAUCUGAAAUUGAACCUUGUAAACGCAGUACACAAUAUUGCAGAUUAGUAAAAGCGAAGAGGAAUCGAUUGGGAGCUGUAUGUCAAGGAUACGUAUGGUAAGUUUGGGAUUGAGGUUGGGCAACUACAACUUAAAAUAAGUUACAAUACUAAUGUGUUUGGUAAACACUAGUUGUUGUAUCUUGAAAGCGAUAUGAUUUUUCACUUGUAUAAUAGAAAUUUUAUUAUAUCUUUAAUAAUUUUAUCAAAAUUAUUAUUUAAAAUUUAUAUUUACUAUAUAUUACUAACUUUUGUUUCAUAGUUAUAACUUUUUUUCUAUAACAGCUGUAGUUUAAAAGGUACAACACCUUAAUCUCAAAUGCACCCAGAGAAGAAACAAUAUCUAUAAUUCAUUACAUGCAAAUUAAAACAACAAAAAUCAAAGAAAAGAAAAAGUAUUCCAACAAUGUGCAUGUGUCUCUAAUUUUUAUGAGUCUUGUUAUAGUUUAUUUUGCGUUGAUCCUCUCUAUAGGUGAUUCAAUUUGUACACUUAGGGUAUGUUUACUUUUUAAAUUUGGGAAUGAAAAUGAGGAAUCAUUCCCAAUGUGUGUGUUUAUUUUCAAAAUUUGAAUCAAUGAAUGGGAAUUGAAAUGGUGAGACCCACUAAUUUUGAGAAUAAAGAAUAAUAAUCUUAUUUGCAUAGUUAUACAAUGUAGUAAGAACAACAACAACAACAAUAAUAAUUGAGGGUUUUUUAGCAACUGCAACGGUCUUUUCGAUUCAAAUAAACACAUCAAUGAAAAUACACUUCAUUUCAAUUCUUAUUCCUUUGACUCAAGUAAAAAAAUUAUUUUGAUUCAUAUUCCUUAUUUCGAUUCAAGUCCAUUCCAAUUACCAUGAAAUAAAUGUAUCAAUAGCCAAAGUCAAGACUAAAGUGAGUGUAAUAUUUUAGUUAAAUGGUGCAAUUAGUAUUUAGAAUGGGUGUAAAAACAAAUACAAAAAUUAGUUUUAAAAUCUGAUCCCAAAAAUUACAAUACACCCGUGAGUACACAAACAUAGCCGAGAACUGACGUUGCUUCCUUCUUCUCCAUCUACUACUGCUGCUCGCCGCUUCUUCUUCUUCAAUCAAUUUUUUCAGCAUCCUGAAUUUGCAGUAUUUUUCAUGCUAUCUUUACCAGAUUUUUAUUUCAUUAAACAGAAUUCAGGGUGUACGAUUUUAGGGUUACAUUUGUUUGAUCAAAGAUAAUGGUAAUUUCCGAAAGUCGAUUAAUAUUAGAAAUUAAUUGAUCAAUUAAAUUUAUCAUCCGUGUGUGAAUUAUUGAAACUAACUCUUCCAAAACUUUUUUUUAAUCUAAAUUUUAUUAAAGACUGAUUCAGGAUUGAUUAAUCUUAGGGAUCUUUUGUAAUUUUUUGAAGUUUUAAGGUAGCUCUGUAGUUAGAUGUGUGCCUGUUGUAAUUAUUAGGGACUUAAUGGGUUCGGUUAGCAAAUUUAAGGAUGUUUCAAACUAUAGGCGGGAGAGUUUCACUUGCCUUUACUAUUGACCUGCGUUGACCAAGCAACUUAUAAAAAGCAGGUUUCUUGAAGUAGCCAUAACUUUGUAUCUAGAGAGAGUUAGAUCGAGGGAUAUAGCUUGAGGAAAAGCUUCUAGGCUAUUUUUUAAUAACAAGGAAAGGUAAGCUAAGCUCGUUAUUCAGAAGUUACUUGUCCUGUGCAAUUUAUAGUUUUGCUUUUACUUUUGAGAUUUGCUUUCUUUGAUCACGAAUCUUGGUUCUGUUGAAUUGUUUGUUUAUGGUCAUCACGAUUUCAUAUAUCUGGUUAAAUUGCUUGAUCUUACGGAGUCAAAAUGAAUUUUGCUUAUGUGUACAUAUAUGUUUGUAUAAGGUGGUUGUGACUCUUAUCGUUAUUUAAGAGUGGAUGUAUAUUUUUCUUGCAUUAAAAUUGAAGAGAUUUUUAUAUAAGAAAUAUUCUUUAAUAAAAAUUUUGAGCUAUUAGUGAGGAAUUAUAUUAUAUUAAAAAAAAAGUAUAAUCAUCUUAGUACAUGAAUUAUAUUGGAAAAGCUAAUAUUAUAAUUUAGAACGAAAAGCAACAAGUGAUAACACCUAACACCAACUCUCGUUAUGGUCACGGUGGCUUGGUGCUUACUUGUUCACAAUACAUAUCAUCAAGUCCUGCUUUCAAGAAGUCUUGGUGCAUGAAAGAUACAGGAACCUUGAAUCAAACGCAUCCUUUGCUGGUUUGCUUUGAAUAGAAGUAUUCUAAAAUACCUCUCUUUUAUUAUAUGCUUAGAUCUUAUUUUCACAAUUAAUAUACAAAAUAUCCUGAAGUUGUUUUUCUUUUUCUUUUUUCUUUUAACAUCAUUUAUUUGAGAGUUCAUUAUUUAUUUCAAUCACAGAUUAACUAAUCACCCACAAAAUUAAUUAAUAUUCAUUUACCUAAUAUAUUAGUUAUAUUUUUGUCAGUGAGCACUAACUUUUCUUCUAUUUAAUUCAAAGCUCACUUAUUAAUUUACCAUAUGCACUUAUUCGAUAACAAGACAAACUGAAGUAAUUUUCCAAGCACUAAAAGAGUAAAAGAAUAUUUUCAUUUAUGAUAUAAACUUGCUAGAUUUAAUUUCAUUGCGACCACUUAUUAAUUCUUGAAAGCGUAUUUGAUAUUUGUCAAUUUGUCAAUUUAUGUACACACAUUAAUCAAAACUAUUUAUUGAAAAAAAAAAGAUUUUUUCCAAUCUUUUCUCAUGUUGUUAAUUAAAUUUAUUAGGGCUUGCUUUUUCCUCACAUCACUUGAAAUAAAAAAAAAAUUGAUAUAUAUAUAUAUAUAUAUUACUUAAUCAAACCAUGUAUACUUGGCAUGUGAAUUAAUCGAAAAAAAAAAUAUAAUAUUUUUUAAGAAUAAAUAGAAAAAAUUGAUAUAACUUAACACCAGCUCUCGUGAUGGUCUUGAUGGCAUGGUGCUUGCUUGUUCUCCAUGUCGUCAAGGCCUGUCUUCGAGAAGCGUCGGUACCAGAAGCUACAAUAGCAAUCGAAACAAAAUUACAGAAUCUGUAUCUUCUGCUUUGAAAUAGAGGUAUUCUAAAAUACCUCUCUUUUAUCCCAAAAUAAUAAUAAUAAUAAUAAGGAAAAAUAACAAAUUUCCAUAUGCCAUACCAUCACAUCCUUUCUUUCUUUUCUUUUUUUUUUGGUUCAUUAUUUCAAAAUACCAAAGCAUCUUUUCCAAAACAAGCUCAUCAUCAACUUGUUGAUAAUCAGAAAUUCUUUAUCAUCAAUUCAUUGCCAGAUUAAGCAUCACAGGAAACUAAGUGCCAUCAUGCUGUUGUCCAUGUCUUCAAUUAAUCCAUCAUUAUUUUCCUAAAAACAAGUAAACAACAAAGACUAAGCGACAAAUAAGUAAACAUCCAACUAAAGCUCCUUUUUUUUACAAUUUUGCCUUUCCCAUUCAAUUGCAGGCAUUCUUUUUGUAUCAUACGGAACUUCAAUUUAAAAGUAAUUUGACACGGUUUAUAAUCCAUUUAGCAUGGUUUUAAUUUUUGAGAACAGCAACAGCUGGUGACUAGUACUAGGGAUGGCAAUUGUGCCCACAAACCCGUAAAUUCGUCUAAACCCACCCACCAAAAUCCGCCCGCUACGGAUAAUUUUGCGGGUUGCGGGCGGGUUUGGUAUUACAAAUUGAAACCCGCACUUGGAUGCGGGUGGGUUUGGUAUUAAUCUAAUAUCUGACGGAUACCCGCAUGGAUAUUCGCCAGACCCGUAAUAUUUUUUAAAUAUUUUUAAUUUAAUUUUAAUUGAAAAAAUAUUUAAAUCUAAAAAAUAUAAAAAGAAAAUAAUGCAAUUAUGCAAAGUGCCAACUAACCAAAGUGUUUUUGUAUGGACUAUUUUUCUUUAACUUAAUGCAUGAAUUAUUUCAUUAUUAUAAAUUUUUUUGGAUUAAUAUUUGAAAAGUAUUAUUCUUUGGAAAAUAUUAAUUUUAAACAUUAUCGUAGGCAUCAUGUUAGAUAGGUGUGCUAAUGAUGGUGAAUGAAAUAGAGAUCUUCUCUUUAAGUUUGUGUUGAAUGAUAAUAUGAAAUGUAAUUGUUAUUUUUAGAUGUCAGUUUGUGGUUUUUUUUAGUGGAUUUGUGUAUUUUAUACUUAAAUUUAAUAAUUUGUGUUGGAUUGAUGUUUAAAUUUUAAUUUUUUAUUUAAUUGGUUAAAUUUAAAAUUGAGUAUGUUAUGUGAAAUUUGAGGUUAUUAUUGUAAAUUUAUAUAUUGAACAUUUGUGAUUUUAAAUGUACAAACCCGUAAAAAAUUUGACGGAUACCAUUGCGGGUUUGGUAAUUGUCAAAAUCCGCACCGAGUGGGUUUUCUUAAAAAAAUUAAAACCCGCUACGGUUUACGGGUGGGUUUGGUAAUUUAAAUUUUGUGCGGGUUUGGGUUUGAUAAUGGCAAACCCACUGCAGGCGGUGCCCAUUGUCAUCUCUAGCCAGUUCAUAUCUUUUUCCUAUAUAAACACUCUGCUCGGAUGGUCUCUUAAUGUCAAUUACAUUUUUCUCUUUUUUACAAACUACUCCAAUUCAAAAUCUCUCUGUUCUUCCAUUUCACCAAACUUUCUCGAGAAAAAAUUUAAUUUAAUGAAUCUUUUUCUCUUUUCUAUAGAUUUACACAAAAAAAUGUAUUUCAGUCCAAUGAAGGGAAUUAUAUAAUUGCAGUGUGUUGAGAAAAGAGAAAAAUUACGUACUCCUUCAUUUAUUUUAGGGGUGUUCAAAAUCCAAUCCGAUCUAUUCAAUCCGUCUGAUCCGUAGAAAUCUGAUCCAUAAAAAUCCGAUUCGUGGAUUGGAUUGGAUUGAAAAUUUGAUAAUCCGCAAUCGAUGGAUUGGAUAUGGAUCUACUUCUGUAAAUUCACAAAAAUCCACGAAUCCGCAAAAAAAUAUAAAGUAUUUAUUUAAUUAAAAAAACUUGUAAAAAAGAUAUUAGUACUUACUAGUAAAUAAAUAAGUUAAAAUAUAGUUACAUUAACACUAUAUUAUAUCUUAUCCAAUAAUAAUAUAAAAUAAAAACAACUAAAUAAACAAAUAUAGCUUUUUAAAUAGUUAAUUUCCAUGUACUGAUCUAAAUGAAUGAGAUUUUUUUUUCGUUUUGGUGUGUUAUAUUUUGAAACUUUAAAUGUAUUUUCUAACUUUAUUUAAACAAUUAAUUUAUUUAAAUCUUAUUUAAAUUUGAUCGGUAGUAAAAUUAUUUUUAUAUUAAAUUUUUUAUUUAGUUAGUUUAUGGAUUGGACAUAAUUAAAAAUUUUCAGUCUGCAAACCAAUCCGUAAAAUCGUAGAUUGGAUAUGGAUUGAUGUCCAAUCCGUAAAAUCCGAUUUGCGAUCACCCCUAAUUUAUUUUAAAAAAAAAAUUAAAGAUCUAAAGCAUAUAUUUAAAAAUACUACAAAAUUAAAUACAUUGCAUUAGAUUGUAUUUAUUUUAGCAUAUCCUUAACUUUAAUAUAGAUAAUAAUUUCUGAUUGAAAAAAUUAUUAUUAUUAUUAUUAUUAUUAUUAUUAUUAUUAUUAUUAUUAUUAUUAUUAUUAUUAUUAUUAUUAUAUGUUGCAUAUUCUUUAGUGAUAUUUUUGUUUCAUUAAGUGAUUCUUAAAUUUUAAAUUUAUGCAGAAAGUCAAAUGUUAUUUAAUUGUUUUUGACAUUUUUAUUUUAAAUGGUUUGCAUUUAUUUAAUUGAAAAUCCUAUUUUUCCUUCAAUAAAUUAUAAAGUAAAUUAAUUGUAAAUUCACGGAAAGACAUUUUAGCUUAUUACUUAGAUAAUAAGAAUGAAAUGGGCUAUUGUUUGAAAAAAAAAAAAAAGAAUUAUUGUAUCAAGGCCCAUGAAUGAAAAAGGUUUUUUCCAUUUUUAUAAUGCAUUACAUUAUUUGCCUUUAUUUUUCAAACAAAGCCCAGGGAUGAAAAAUGUUUUCUCCCUUUUUUCAAUAAUGCAUCACAUUAUUUGCCUUAAUUUAUUUUUCAAAUUUAUAAUUCAAAGCUUGCAACAAAAUCUAAAAAAUCUUGUAUUUUAUCAGGAGAACUAUCAGAUUUUAGCCAUUAUUUAGGUCUUCGUCAAAUAUGCAUUUCUUUAUUUUAGAUUUUUUUUUGUGACGUAAGUAUUAUCUUUCUUAUUUUAGUAAUUUUUAGCAUAAACUAUUAUACGUUUCAAAUGCUAGAAUAACAAUUUUUCUUUAUUAAUGUAUACAUUUACAAUCGAUGAUGCUAUGUCGAAUCCAACAUUUACUUUUUCUCAAAAUUUUAACUAUUUAUAUAAUUUAAUUAUGUAAAAAAAUGUAAAAAUGUCUCCAUAAUUGUUACUUCCCCAAUAUUAUUAUUCAUGAACGUAAUUUUGCACGUACUGAAAAUAAAUAAGCCACAACAACAAUAGUAUACAGUAUCUCUAUCACACAUCUUUCGAGUGUUCUGUAUAUGUUAUAUAUGAAAGUAUGCAUGUUUUUUUUUUUUUUAAUGACUGUACAUAGAUGAAAUGUUGUUGAAAGUGUUUUUUUUUUUUUUUUUUCCAAUUUUUUGUGUCACAUGGUAAUGUCAAGCUGAUUUUUGGUUCCACUAACAUGAGUUGUGCAGGCAAAAGAAAAGAAAAAAAGAUGUAUGCCAGCAUCACCAAUCUUCUUAUGAACUUGGUGGUAUGGUGCUUGGAGCACCUUACAACUUGGUCUUAGGUUCGAGAAGAUUGGUAGCCAAAUUCAGUCCCACUCCAAUAUGAUCCCCCCCAUCAUCAUCAUAUCCAACGUUCCAAUUUAAAUGAGGUAUUCGAAAAUACCUUCUUUUUGUCACAAAAGUUCCUGUAUUCUUUUUCAAGUAAUAUAUGAGAAAACAGGACCACAAGUAUAGGAUUUCAUCAUUUCUUCUUAGCUAAAAUCUCCCAAUUCAAAAUAUAUUAGAUGAAUUCAUUAUGUUGCACAUCAUGUCAUUUUCUUUUCGCUUCAUUUGUAUAGUAGGAGGUAAUACUCUUUUAGUUAGUCUUAAAAUUUGAGGUAUAAUUACUCAAUUUUAUUUAUAUGUCGUUAAUUUCCUAAUUGUUGAUCUAGGUUUCGAAGGUAAAAUAAUAAUUCUAUUUUAUUUAAUUUAAAGUGAAAUAAAGUUGAUGUGCAACAUGUGAAAAGUAGCGAUAGAUACUUAAAUUAAAUGCUCAUUGUGUGUCAUUAUUAAUUGCACGACUAAGAAUUAUGUUUACACCGUUAUGAAGAAAAUGGGUGUGAAUGACCUUUUAACAUAAUGGAAAAAUAAACUAAUAAAUUUUACAGAACAAAGAAUAAAAUAAAACACAAUUAAUUACCGGCUCUCAUCAUGAUCUUGUUGGUAUGGUGCCUACAUGUUCAUCAUGUCACCAACCAUGAGUUCGAGGAGAGCUAGUAUCAUCAAACUAGAAGCAAUGAACAGGAUGCGUAUACCCUUGCCAUUAAAAUGCAAAAAAGUUAUUAAAAUGUGUGCACAGACCUUCUUUUAUUGGGAAAUUUAUAAAAAUAACCAUAAAACUUUUGUUAUUUUCACAAUUAACCCUCUCAACUUUUUUCUAUCAACAUUAGCCAAACACACGCUUCUCUCCCCAAAUUACCAUUCUUUACAAACCAAAAGCAACUUCAUUUCUCCCCUUUCGUUAAACCAAAGACAGCUUUCUACUCUUGAAUCAUCAACCAACGGCGACGGCAAAAGGCAACGAUAAAAGUGAAAUCCGAUAAUAAUCUAUUCGGAUCCAACACUAAUCGGCAUCACAUAGUGGUAUGAGUUAUUUUCUCAACUUGCUCGAGAGUUUCAGUGAACUGCGAGUCGGGGUGAAUCUGACGACAGGCUGCCUGUCGCACGAAGCUUCGAGCGACAGGCAACCUGUCGCACCAAGUUUUGGUGCGACAGGUAGCCCUUAUUUUUUUCCUUUGCCUCUCUCAGUGCAGUCUCCUAGUCAUCCUUAUGACCUUAUCAUCCUCCUCUGCCUUCCCGUCUGCCAAUGAACUGCGACUAGAGACAUCCAUUUACUCCAGUAACCAAUUAUUGACGCCCCAAUUCCCAGAUCUUCGUCGUUCAAUAUAUCUCCUAUUGGUUGCCAAAGGACAAAAAGAAACAGAUGACACCCCCAAGUUAUUACAGAAGUCUUGGCGUCCGAUGGAAUGAGCCAUUUUACAACUAUUCAUACCUUUAACUCAAUGAGGGUCAAAAUAUUGCUUCUUUUACAUGCAAAGAAACAAAACAAAAGAUUCAAAAUUUUCUUCUUUUUCAACACAACCUUCAUUCAUCGAGCGCAUGGAAGUAAAAUGAAUAUGGAAACUGCCGGUUCCACAUGUUUAAGUUAAUUGAAGUUAUACCCUUUCUCACCCCAAUAAAAAAAAAAAAAAAAUUAUUGUGCACCUAUAUAAAAUAUUACACAACUUGUGCAGCUGGACGAGUUUAAUUGGAAGCAUUAUGGGAACGGGCAUGGGCAGGGGCAGUGUAUUUUGAGUGAGAGAGAAGAAAAAGACUAAGAGAUGGCGCAAAUAGGGUAUAUAUUUGGCUCUGUUGAGGAACAUAUUUGCAGUUUGAACAGAUUAUGCCAGGUUCCUUCCCUUAGGAUGGGUUGCUUCACGCUAGCCGCUGACGAUGGGAGGUUCUUCGGUUUGGGAGAGAUGGGAGAAAGAGAGAUUGUUGGGAGGUUACUUCCAUGCGCUUCCAAUUCAUCGAGCGCAUGGAAGUAAAAUGAAUAUGGAAACUGCCGGUUCCACAUGUUUAAGUUAAUUGAAGUUAUACCCUUUCUCACCCCAAUAAAAAAAAAAAAAAAUUAUUGUGCACCUAUAUAAAAUAUUACACAACUUGUGCAGCUGGACGAGUUUAAUUGGAAGCAUUAUGGGAACGGGCAUGGGCAGGGGCAGUGUAUUUUGAGUGAGAGAGAAGAAAAAGACUAAGAGAUGGCGCAAAUAGGGUAUAUAUUUGGCUCUGUUGAGGAACAUAUUUGCAGUUUGAACAGAUUAUGCCAAGUUCCUUCCCUUAAGAUGGGUUGCUUCACGCUAGCCGCUGACGAUGGGAGGUUCUUCGGUUUGGGAGAGAUGGGAGAAAGAGAGAUUGUUGGGGGAGAGAUGAGAGAGAGGGAUAUUUUAGUCUCAAAGGCUUUUUUAUGGCUAAUGUUGAUAGAAGUUUAUUUGGGGGGUUAAUAUGAAAAAAGUCAAAAUUUUUAUGGCUAUUGGUGUAAAUUUCUCUCUUUUAUUAAUCCUUUUUAUUUGUUUAAGGACAUCGAACGUAGAACAGAAGUUUUUUUUUUUUUUUUGAGAUAUGUAAUAGUGAGAUUUAUAUUACAAAAGCAGUAAUAAUAAAGCCACGCAUAUCUUAUAAAAAAAUAAUAGUAAUAAAGCCACGCAUAUAAUGGUGAUCUUAAUGAUCUAAGUUGAAAAAGAAGUCUAUGCAUCCAUUUAUAAAAUAUUAAAUGUAACGACUUGUACAUUAAGGGCAACUUUGAAAGGAUACAGAUAUCUUUUGACAAUUUAGAAUUAAAAAGGUUUUUUAUUUUUGCAUGGUUAUGCUUUAUUCACAUCAGUUGAGAUUGAAGAAAUUUCCAGUUGGCUUGCAUUAUGUGAAAGAGUAUUAAUUACUGUCACAAAUAUGAGAGUAUAUAGUCGCAUUUGCACAUGCCAAGGACAUUAAUAAAUGUAACAAUAACACAAAUCCUUAUUUUUUUUUCUAAGGCUCACCUGGAUCAGCCUGAGUGCAAUGGGAAUUUUGCUAAGUCAUUUUAAGUGAUUGCCUCGGAACAGAAUAAAAGCUGAUUCAUAUGCGGCAUAGCCCACCUAUUAUCCCGCGGGAUAUCAAGCAGGCAAACGGGAUUCUGAUGAUGAUAUUGAUUCCAGGAUUACAGAUUUUGGGCUUGUAGAGGCAAUGCCUGCUGCUCAUACACAUAUCAAUGCUUUGAAUGUUGCCGGGACUGCGGAAUACAUAGACCAGGAGUGUCACCUGAGGGGAUAUUUACAAGUGUGAUUUAUACAGCUUAAUGAGGAAAUGCAUGAGUUUGGUCAAAUGAAUGAGAAAUUAUAUGACUUCUGAGGAUUGUAUUCAAACCAUUGAUCCUGAAGCUCCUAGGAAAGCGGUUAGUGGAACAAGAACGUAAACGAAGGUUUUAAAUGCAUUUUGUUUCUUCUUUUUUCCUCUGUGCACUGUCUAUACAGUGAUAAAUUUACUGAAUAUAUAUGCCUAUUGCCCAAAACUACAAGAUCAAAGAGAGUAAUGCACAUAAAUUUGUAUUUCAUCCUUUGCUGUUAAUGCAAGGGUUGAGAUUUUAGGGUGAAUAAUACUGAUACAAAAGUAAUGGGGUUGAUUAUAUACUUCAGUUUUAUUAACUGUUCAAUCCAGACCUCAAUUUUUUUAUUCCAAUCUUGACCAUUAAUCUUCUUAAAUCAUAACACAUUUCAUCCUUCUAGAAGCAUCAGGAACUAUCUUGUUGAAUGCUCGCUGGUGACUGUUUAGCUCCUAAAUUUAAAUACUCGCCAAGAGACACUUCAUUUUGGCAUUUCAUCAGACGGUUUUAUUCUUCCAUCAAACGAUUGUUGCUUUAACUAUUUUAAAAAAAAAAAGGUGUGUUGACUGUUGAUAUCACCAACCUCUUAGAACUCAGUGUUAUGGUGCUUCAAGAACCAUCUAACUUGGUCUUAUGUUCGAGAAGGUUGGUAGCUACAUUUAGUUCAACUCCGUUAUGAACUUAUGAUCCAUCUUCAUCAUAUACAACUUCAAUUAAUGAGCCAUUCGAAAAUCAAUAAUGUUAUGUAUACUUAAUUGGGAUCUUUAAUUUAUAUUUUAGUAAUGUGACAAAUGAUAGUUAUUAUUUGAUUGGUUCAAAUGAUAAUUAAUUAUUAAGUCUUAUAAUAUUUUAUUCAAAUGGUGAGAUUUUAUUAGUGAUACAACAUCACUCUUUAAAAAUUAACUUGUUUUAAAUGCAAUUUUUUUUAAAAUUCUUUUUCAAAUAAUAUAUGAAAAAAGCAUUGGUUUCAUUUCAUCAUUUAUUUUUAAUUCAGAAGUUAGAAGUCAAAAUAUAACAGAUAUUACAGAACAAAAGAAAAAAUAUGAGACAAUUUGCCACCGGCUCUCAUCGCGAUCUUGUUGGUUUGGUGGCUUCAGGUUCUGCGUGUCACUAAUCGCGAGUUCGAGGAGAGCUGGUACCAAACUGGAAGCAACGUACGGGAACCAUAUAUAUGCAUAUAUAUAUUCUUCCACAAAAAGAGGUAUUACAAAGUACCUUCUUUUUGCCACAAAUGCAAAAAGUUUAUUUUCUAUUGAUUUCUUAUUAAUAAGAGAUUUGAAAAGUACAAACAUCUUAUUAUAUAUAAGCCUACUUUCUUUUGUUUGAGGUUAUCAAACAUUUAGUCAUAAUCUUUUUUUACUUUUCUUUUUUUCUUUUUUUGUCGUCUAUACAAUGAUGAGAUUUACAUAAUGAAAUAAGCAAUAAUAAAACCACACAUACGGAGUUGAUCUUAGUGAUCCAAGAUGAAAUGGAAUUUGUGUAUCUAUUCAUAAAAUGUUAAGUGUAAUGACAUUUUUAUUAUGACAAAUUUUGAGAAUAUAAACAUCAUUUUUCCUGCGUUGGAGAAUUUUGGUGGGUAUUUAUAAGAAUAUACUUUAAUCACAUCACUAGAGAUUGAAGAAAUUUGAGAUCUUACGAAGGAAUUAUAUUGUUUCAAAAAGAAAAAAAAAUACAAUAAUCUUAGAGCCAGUUUGAUAAUACUAUAACUUUGUUAAUAAUUAUUGUUAAUUGUGUUGUAGAAAUAAUAAGUUGAGAAAAAAUCAAUUAAAUGUUUAGUAAUAUUUAUUUUAAAAGUACCUUGGGUUUUGAGAGUAAUCGUAUAUAUUUAGUAAAUUUUUCUAUUAAAUUGCUGUAAGAAUAUAAAUUGUUGUCAAAUAAAAUUUAUUUAUAUAUUUAUAAACAUGUAUAUAAAAUAUUUUUGUUGUAUAUAUAAUAAUUGAUAACUAAAAUAAAUAUUUCUAUAUGAUUAAUUUGAUUUUUAUUUUGUUAUCUCAGUGUAAUUGUCAAUAAUAAUAAUCCCUUUAAUUUUAACGAUUUAUCCUAAUCAGUAAGGAUAAUUUUUGGAUUUUUAGAAUAUUGUGAUGAUAUAUAGAAAAUUAUAUUAAGUAUAAAAAUGAUUUAAAAUCAGAUUUUGAAAAUGAACUCAUUUCCUACUUUUUCAAAAUAUGCUAUAGAAUAUGGUAGUUUGCCAAUUUUUUUUUUUAAUUUAUCAAAUAUCAAAAUUAACUUUUAGCUUUUCAAAAAGACUUUUAAGCCUUCCAAAAGCAAUUCUAAAUGGACCCUCACUAUUUGAAUAUGAUCGGAAAAAAUAAUAUUAUAUUAAAAAAUUAAAAGUAAUAAUUUAUACCAUUAAGGUGCCGUUUAUUCUUUUGUCUACAAUUUGAAUGGGUCUAAAUUUUUCUAAAGUCUAAAUAUAAAUGUCCAAAUGACAUUUUUUUUAAAUGUCUCAAUAUAUGCGGUGUCUUGUUUGUUUUUGUGAAUAAAAAAAUCUUAAAUACGAUUUUUUAUAUUUAUAUUCUUAUAAAUCGAGAGAGAGAGAGAGAGAGAGAGAGAGAUUAGGUUUUAUAAUUUAAUAAAUUAGUAUACUUAAUAUAGAUUUGUUUUCUAUUUUGAUAAAAAAAUCACAAAAAUUUACUUUUUCUUCGGUUAAAAAAAAUAAACAAGAAAAUUUUGAAAAAAGUAUGAAAUUAAUAAAAUUUUCAGACUUGACGUUUAACAAAUAGAAGCCAUUUUAAUUUAAGACAUAAACUUAAUUGAAGAGAGGUAUACAAACCUAUGUUUUCUUUAAGACAUAAACUUAAUUAAAUUCAUUUGAGACCACUUAUGGCUACCAUAUAAACUUAUUUGAUAACUAGGCAAAUGAAGUUACUUUCCAAGCAUUAAAAAUAAUAUUUUUCUUUUUGAUAAAUAAACUUGCCAUAAUUUAGUUUCAUUGGGAUCACUUAUUAAUUAACUUAUUUGAUGUUUUCCAAUUAUAUGCGAGUAUAUAGUAAACAAAACUAUUUAUUGAGAAAAGUUUUGUUCAAUCUUUGUCUUAUUUUGUUAGGUUUAUAAGGAAUUGCUUUAGUCACAGCACUUGAGAUUGAAAAUCAAAAUUGAGAUAUUACGUAACAAUGUAGUAAACUAGGAAAAAAAAAUAAGUCAAACAUAUAUGUUGAAUUUGAAUUGUUGGAAGCACAGAUAUUGGGGUCUGUAUGUAUAAAUGUGAAGUAAGUGACUGAAAUCACUGCCAACUCUCGUGUCUUAGUGGCAUUGGCACUUCCGAAUAAUUAUUUCACCUUGUCAUCGAGUCCUGCUUUCGAUAAGCGUUGGUAACAGAAGCUAGCAAUGUAUCUGUCUCUGCUUUAAAAUAGAGGUAUUCUAAAAUACCUCUUUUUCAUUAUAUAUAUUUACUUAAAUCUUAUUUAGAAAAGUAAAAAUUAUCCUUGAUUUCGUUGAAAAUUUAUUAAUUAGAUUAAAUAUAAAUUUUUCAUUACCCUUUUGGCCAUCUCUUGCUUCUAUUGUUACAAGUCAAAUUAGGGGACUCUCUCUUUGAGAUAAUGAUAUAAAGUUCAUAAAUUAGUUUUUAAAAUAUAACUUGUUAAUAUUCGAUUUUAAAUUAUAACUCAACGCAGUUUAAUUCAAUUUAAAUUUAACAGAAUUUUGAUAUAUGCUACUCAUUUGGUUGGCCUCUCUUGUUGUUGGAGAAAAAGGUUACGGGCUCAAUUCUAAAGUUAUACAUAUCAUACAUUUAUAUAAAUUAUGACCGUCAUGUUGUAGUUUGGCUAGUCAUGAGUGUGCUUUAUGCCUCUAGUUGCCUGAGUUCUAAUUAAUAAGAAUAUGAAUAAUAAUUUGGUGUAUUUAGGGAUACAUUAUAUCAUUUCUUUUGGAACUAUUUUAACAACAAUGAUGGCAUGUCAUGGUGCAUAGUUUGAAGUGCUUCAGCAAGUAUGAAGGUUUCGGAAGAAACAAAGGAAACAGAGUCCUCUAUCAUCAAAACUAAUUUUACGAGUUAUACAAGUUUUUACCUUAAAGUAAUACUGUGUAUAGUUCAAUCAUCAGAAGCUGUUAUGAUUAGAAGCUCAUGGUGAAUGCAAAUUGCAGUAACAUUGUGAGAGACCGGCCUUCUAAGAUUCGAACAUAGGUUUUGGUUUCAUAAUCCCACCCCUAUUAACUUAUAAUUUUUGCAAAAAAAAUAUAAAACACAGUGAAAAAAAAAAAUCAAUGUUUCACAGCCCAUACCCCGGGGUUGAUCUGGAAUUGAGCCUUAUAUGAGCCUUAAAAUGCCGUACACAACAAUGCAUAUCAGUAAAAGCAGAGAGGAAUCGAUUGAAAGCUACAUAUCAAAGAUACAGAGAAGAAACAAUAUCUACAUUCAUUACAUACAGAUUAAAACACCAAAAAUCAAAGAAAAGAAAAAGUAUUCCAAUAAUAUUUAUGUCUCUAAUAUUUAUGAGUUUAGUUAUAAUUUCUUUUGCGUUGAUCCUCUAGUAAUUCACUUUGUGCAUUCAGGGUAUGUUUACUUCUUAAAUUAGCGAAUGAGAAUGAGGAAUUAUUCACCUUGUGUGUGUUUAUUUGUAAAAAAUUGAAUCAUUGAAUGAGAAUUAAAAUGGUGAUAACCACUAAAUUUAAAAAUAAGAAAUGAAAAACUCAUUUCCAUAAGUAUACAAGAUAGUAGUAGAACAACAACAACUACUACUAAGGGAAUUUUAUAAACUUAUAACAAUCUAUUCCAAUUCUGAUAAACACAUCAAUGGAAGUACAUUUCAUUCCGAUUUUUAUUCAUACAACUCAAGUAAACAACUUAUUUUGAUUUACAUUUCUUAUUUCAAUUCAAACAUAUUCCAAUUACCACGAAGUAAACACAUUAGUAGCAAAAGUCAAGACUAAAGUGUCGCGGGCAUAGAUUUUAAGGGUAAUUUUUAGGGACCUCCCCUAAGGUUUGGCGUAUUGACAGUUAGAUAUAAAGUAUGACCGUAAUUUCAAAGACCUCCUCUGCCGUUUGUAUUUCCAUCCAAUAACUGUUAGUGGAUCAACAAAAUGACCAAACUACCCUGAGGCCAAAAAGACACGCUUGUGGCACUGGCAACUAGUAGGUUGCUGUUCGUUAAUAGUAUGAAAUAUGUAUUGCUCCCAGCACACUCAUGAAAUGACAAAAAUAACUCACUACAUAUUCAUUACCUAAAAAACAAUAUUGCUGAAAAAAUUUAACAAUUUCUAAACUUUAAUUAACAAAAUCAUAUUUGCUUCAAACAGUUUAAAAAUAAAAAUGGUAUUUCUAUCACACAACUCUCGAUUUUUAACAUUUUUUUGCGAUCAAACCCACCUAAAUCUUAAAUUGUAAUCAUAAAUAAGAUCCCAAAAAUUAAUUUCACUUAAAAAAAUCUCAAUUUUUUUCAUUUUAAUUUUAUUAUAAACAUUUGAAAUUGUAUUUGCAAUUACAAAGCUAAAAUUCAUUUUUGUUUAACAUAUAAAUCAUAGAACACAACUAAAUUAUAAUAUGCAAUGGUUUGUUUAGCUAGUACGAAUCAAAGUUGAUACAUGUAGCAGCUUCUUCAACAAAUCAAACAAAACAUUAAAUCCAUUUUCAAACAUAACAUCGAAUCAACCAAAAGGCUCUAAAUUUGACAUGCAUUGGGUUAUUUGGAUUUUUCACCUACUACAAGGUUUAAUCACUGCCAGGUCCCUCAUUGAUCACCGGCAAUGGUCACUCAACGACACCAUUUUCCCGCUGUUGUCACUUUACGUUCAUAACUCUUCUUUGGAACUGGGGCUUCUUCAGAUUUGAGCUUCAUUUGGCGAGGUCAAAGGCAAAAAGAGAAGAAUCUGAUUUGAGAUUGUUAAUUGGCUAGGGUUUGGUAGAUGAAAGAGAAGAUAUGUCCAAGCCAUUCUUACAACCAAUGGAUGAUGAAGUGCUGCAGUGGUCACAUCUCUAUCACGUGGUUGCUUUUGAUUUUUUCAAUUUAAAAUAUCUUUUUACGAAAUUACCCUCAUAUAUUGACAAGAUACCAAAUGGAAUACAAACGGUAGGGGAGGUCUUUGAAAUUACGGUCAUACUUUCUAUCUAAGUGUCAAUACGCCAAACCUCAGGGGAGGUCCCUAAAAAUUACCCUAGAUUUUAAUAGAGUGAUAAGUAAUAUUUAUCUUUAACAUUAGUUGAGUGGGUCCAAUUAGUAUUUAGAAUGAGUGUAAAGAAAGUACAACGAAAAAUGUAAUGUGCAAUUAAUUUCUGGUUAUCGUGAUCUUGCUCUUAGUUUUGAGAUCUAAUUCCAAAAAUUACGAUACACCUAUGAGUACACAAACAUAGCCCAGAAACGACGUUGCUUAUUCUUCUCCCCCAUCUGUUGUUGCUGCACCUUGCUUCUUCUUCUUCACUCAAUAUUUUUCAGCAUCAUGAAUCAGCGAUACUUUUUAUACUUUUUUUACCAAAUUUUUAUCUCAUUAAAAGAGAAUUUUGGGCGUACGAUUAUUAGGGUUACAUUUGUUUGAUCAAAGUUGAAAUACUCAUUACUGUAAUUUCCAGAAGUCCAUUAAUAUUUGAAAUUAAUUGAUGAAUUGAAUUUAUGAUCCGUGUGUGAAUCAUUGAAAUUAACUCUUCCAAAAUAUUUUUUUUCUAAAUUUUAUUGCUGGCUGAUUCAGGGUUGAUUAAUCUUAGGGGUCUUUUGUAGUAUUUUUAAAGUUUAGGUUGCUCUAUAAUUAGAUUGAGCUCUAAGAUUAAUAUUUAAUUAGAUGUGAGCUCUAAGAUUAAUAUUUUCUAAAGACUAAUGCUUUCUAAAUACUAAUCCAAAGAACACAAUUAUAAUAAUGCAUGUAUUAAGUUAAAGACAUAGAUGAGAUGAGAGAAUAAAGAUCGGUUCCUUUAGUUUAAGUUAGGACAUUAGGGCUUAGGCACGCUGCAUGCACGUUUACAUUUAUUCACUUAUAUAUUUUUACGCUUAUAUAUUUUUAAUUAAAAUUAAAAAAAAUAUUUUUUUAAAAGUGCAGGUGAGAAUACCCAUGCAGAUAUGCACUAAAUAUUUGGCAUAUACCAAAUACACCAGCAACUUCGUAUGGGUUUUAGUUUAAGAUACCAUACCCACCCGCAACCCACAAAAUUACCCGCAGCAAGUAGGCUUUGACGGGCGGAUUUGGUUGGGUUUGUGUGUUUGUAGGUACCAUUACCAUCCAUAGUUCUAGAAGAGGUGGCAAGUCGCCUAUUUUUGCUUACAGCUACAACCUUUUGUGAACUGAGCAUUCGAGUGGAAAUGUACUAAAUACUAGCUCGGACGGUGGCCUCAGAAGGUCUCUUGCCAAAACAUAGAAAACUAGAAACUUAGAUCCUAAUAUAUAAACCGUAAAGUGAAUACAUAGAACCGAAUGACCAACAUGGCUCCUAAGAUGAAAAACUUUGCAAUAAGAACAAGGAUUCACAAUUCUCUAGAGCAUGGUUGGAUUUGGUAGCCCAGAGUUAGUUCAACUUCACUGAAAGCUACUGACAAUGUUGAUGGUGAGGAGAACAAUACAAGUUGGAAGAGUUAUGGCAAUAGUAAGAAAAAUCAAUAAAGCAAAGAGUUCUAUAGUAGUUGUGAAGGCCUAACAAUUUCGCAAAUCAUUCAACCAGCAAGGCAAUGGCCUUUUUUUGUAUGCUAAGGUGAUCAUGGUGCUAGUGACAAGGACAAUGGCCUGCAAGCAUUGGUGAUCCAUACCAAAACAAAAAUAGUACAAAAAUUUGACAAUUUACUAGUUGAGAUGUUGGAUGAAGAGUUCUAAAAAAAAUUCUAGUAUCUAAGAGUGUUAAUAAGUAGAAAGGUUCAGAAGAUACAAAAGAAGAUAUCAAAUUGUAUGGCCUCCAAUAGUUGUCAUCAUGAACCCAUGGCAAGAGGAUGAGAAUGAUAAGGUAAACUUAUUAGAAAAUUAUCCUUUGGGGAAAAUCAUCACAUAAAUUCUAGGAAUAUUCAUGUUAUAUUACCAAGAAUGAAAAAUCGAAUAUGCGGAAGCAUAGAUGAAUCCAUAAUGACAAAUUACCCUUUAAUUCCAUAUGGUUAGCCUUUCAAAUCAACAUGUUUUCCUAGAGGAUCCUUUAGGUUUCUCAUUGCACUCUUCGUGAUGAUGAGAUGUUGAAAAAAAUAAAAUGCUACGUGUGACCUAAGGACCAUAACUAUUUAUAUAGAUAACUUUUAUGUUAUAAUUAGGUGUUCUUAUUUCAGCCUACCAUGAAAUUAGAAAUUACCCUUAAAUCUCUACACAUUAAAGAUCUACAUCAUAUUAAAUACAUUAAAGUCUAAAUUACUGAAAAUUUUAAUGGAUCAAAUUUAAUUGGACUUAACCUUAUAAGAGAGCCGCAACACAUAAUUAUUCACAUAUAAGCACAAAGUUGGACUAAAGAUCUAAUGAAAAUCUUAUUUUGUUGGUUUUGUAGUAAGGUGAACGGAGAGUGGAAAUUAAUUUAAGUUGUUGCUUUAUUUACUCUCAUUUAAGAAACAAAACUUUUGCAUAUUUUAAUAUAACUAUUUUCUUUUUAUUUAAAUCGAUUUAAUGGAUUGCGUGGGGCAAUAAAUAAUUGCUUGACCACUUCAGCUCAUUUAAAUUUGUGAGAGCCAAAAACUCUAUGGGCAAACAUGGGCACUGUAGCAUGAGUAUUCUAAUUUUUUAAAGUUCUUUAGUGCGUUAUCUAGAGGCUCAGCCUCUUUCAUCAGCAUUUUGAUGAUGAUGAAAUGAUAGAGACACAUCAAUAUGUUUUGUUGACAUAAGAAGCAACAGAGAAGUUAUGUAUACUUUUUUUUUCAAGCAAGGAAAUGGUAAAGAAGAAUGGAAUGAUGAGUUCUACAGGGCCUUGUUCUUUGAAAGUGGGCAGUGCUGACUUUAUAGUUUCAUGGCACAAUAAAAAGAUGAAUUUCAAUAAUUUUGGUGUUGACUUCUUCAACAAGAAUUAUCAAUUUCAACAACUUUUCAGUUAUUUUUCUCUCCCUUAUGUUCACAAGACAUGUUUAGAGAUAGGAUUUUUGGUUGGAGCAUGCAAGAUUGAAUUGAAUCCUCUGAUAAUCCAUGAUAACUUAAGAUGCAUAAAAAGAUUGCCAGUUUGCUACGUACUUGGAAUUUGCGUAAAAUGAUACCUAGUUGUAUCUGACAUAAUGUAUAUAUGAUUACCCAAUACGAAUGUUUAUUUUCAAAUGAAGUCACAUUUUGAUAUGUAGAGUCAACUCUACCACUAGGCAAAUUAGGUGAUUGCUUAGAGCUUCACAUUUUAGUAAGAUACUAUUUUAUAAAAAAAUUAACUAUCUAAAAAAAUAAUAUAACAUUUCAAAGAUUUUAUUCAUAAAAGGCUCUAGAAAUCCUAUAAUUAAAAUUUACAUAUACUAAAAGUGAACAUACUUAACGACCACUAACAUGUAUACUUAUUAAAACAUUUAAGUUAGAAUCAUAAAAAAAUUUAUUAGAAUUAUAAAAAUUUUAGAUAAAUAAAUAAUAUAACAAUAAGCAAUCAUCAUGCCAUCAUUUUAAAUAUUUUAUUUUUUUAGUAGUAUCAUUCUUAUUCUUUUGUAAAUUUAAAUAAUUUUUUUAUUGAUGUAGCAUAUGAUUAGUAAAUUAUUAAUUUUAAAUUUUCAAACGACUAUUUUGCCUAAGGCCUUAAAUAUCUUUGAACUACCCCUACAAAGAUUAUUGGGAAGCAGCUCAUGUAAAUGGAAGACGUCAUUUCUAAAUUGAGAAUCAACAUGCUACAUAAGAAGUUAUGAAUUUGAAAUUGCAUACAGUUUAUUCUCCAAAGUUAACAUGAAACUUAACAGUUUUCUUUUAAGCAAUAUUAUGAAACCUUUGUUUGUUGGUCUAUAUUCAAAGUUGCAACUUGUAAGACAUGGAAGAGAUAUAUUUUAGAGUUGCAUCUAGUAACAUUGUCCAAAGUAAAAAUGGAAAUUACAGUGUGCAAGAGAUAUAUUUUACAUCUCUGAGUUGUAUUCAAACUUUUUUCUCAAAAUCGCAAGAUAUGAGAAUUAAAUGUAUCAAUUUUCUACAAGAGCCAUUAUUAAAGAUGAAAGAGGGGAAAUGAUCAACUAUAACGAAUUUUUAAUUUUGAGAUACAAAAUUUCAUUUUGAGUGUUCCUAUUUCUUUCGUGUCUUCAAAACUAAAUGAAAAGACAUAGUAAUUUCAUUUUUUUUCAAGAAAAAGUUGAAUGCUAUAAGAACUUAUUAAAAGAAAUUCAGGAAGCACAAGAAGAAAAGAAAAUCUAUUAUCAUAAACAUAUAAUUCAGGUAUGGACAUCGAACGUGACAGGUUUAAGUAUUUUCAAAUGAUUCUAUUACAUGAUUGCAAGGCACAUGAAUUUUCCAACUUCAUAACAUUUGAGUUUGGUGGAUGGAUUACUGUAGAGAAAGUGCUGAAUUUACAAGCAAUGAAAGAGAGAUAUGACGUGGACUUGUCACUGGCCGAAAAAGUUAAGUAAAAAAAUGUUGCAGCAAACAAGGCAAAAGCACCAAGAUGAACAACGACUAAUGGAUGAGGAAUUAUUGGUUGAAUUGCCCAAAUUGAUGAGAAGUCAUGCCAUCAUGAUUAAAAAAUCAUAAAUAGGUUGGUACUAAGUUUGCCAUUAUGCUAUUUGAUUCCAGAAAAAACAUAUUAAAUAGAUGAGUAGUACAUACGUCAAUCAUAUAAUCAUAAGAAUCUUUAUACUCGUUUUUUAACUUAUUAAACUACUUAUUAAACUCAUUUACUAAAUAAAUCCGUCCUUAUAGUUUGAAAUUUUAGAUUUUACUCAAUAAACCCAUUAAAUACCCAAUAUACCCUUUCUGAAGCCAAUUUGUAUAAUAAUAGUUCUUUUACUCAUUAAACCCAUUAAUGAUUUGUUUACUUAUUGGGAAUGGAAAUGAGAAUCAAGGAAUGAGAAUGAAUGAUGUAUUUCUUGCUUAAAUAAAAGGUGGAAUGAGAAUCAAAGUGGUGAGCCCCACCUAAAAUUGAGAAUGAUUACUAGAGUUUCCAUUCACAUGGGAGGUAGGAAUGAGAAUCUCAUUCCCUAAAGUGACUAUAUUAUCCCUACUUAAAUCUUGAAAUUUUCAUUUUAUCCUUCCUUAUAUUACUAUUAUUUUAUUAUUAUUAUUAUUAUUAUUAUGAAAAAUUUAUUCUUGUUGAUGAUGAUGAUGAUAAAUAUUAUUAUUAUUAUUAGUAAUUAUUAUAAUUAUUAAUCAUUAUAAUUAAUAUUAAUAAUAAAAUUAUAUUAUUAUUAUGACAAUGAUAAACUAAGGUCAGUAUAGUAGAUUGUAAUUAUCCGUUUUGAUUUCACUCCAUUUCGAUUCAAGUUCAUUCCGAUUAUUAAUUACUAAACAUACCAUAAAUUCAUUUAUAAACCCUCAAUUAAUAUUUUAUUGAAUUUCUUACGUAGUUAUUCAAUAUCCAAAAAACAUACCAAGUGGCUCAGCAACCACCAAACAAAGACUCAUGUUGGUGAUGCAUGGUAAGUAAGAAGACUACUACAUGAGUAUUUUGGGCAAAAAAUUGAAGCAACUGUCAAAGAGUAUCCUUCAUCUCUUCAAAAUUCAGACAAACACCUCAUUUACAUCUUAUAAAGGGCGACUAAUUUUAAAAGAUUAGUUCCGGUAAUGUCCUUAAGGAUAAUUGGAAGACUGUUGAAUUUUUUCACCUUGAAGGAGUUGCAUGACAGUACUUCACAUAGAAUAUUAUAGAAGAGGUACAUAAAAUCUGCUCUCCUUUUGAUAUGAAAUGUCUAAGAAUAAAUAAUGAAGAAACGAGUAAUAUUAGUAGGGCUAUCAUUCUAAAGAAUCUUUUUCAAGCAAAGAUAUUAAAGUUUGGAGGUUUCAUGUUACAUAUAUCCAAAAAUAUAACUGGAGUAUAGUCUUCACCAAUUAUGAAAACAGACGAAAUGGAUUAUCGAGAUGUGGAUGUUGUUGAUCCAUCAUAUGGUAUUUAUCAAUAUUAUUGGUUUGAUUCCCAUACAUAUAUUAAUAUAUAUGAUGUAACUCUUAAUUUAGAAGGAAGGCUUGAUGGAGGAUCUUAUUGCAAUUUUGAUUCCAAAAUUGAACAAGUUCUUAGCAGAUACCAUUGGAAGAAUAUUAUUGAUAAUGAAACGAUUCUCGAAGAUGAUUACUGAAAAGUCGAAGUCUUGGAGGCAACAAGUGGCUAUCAUUGAUAUGCUAAUUAAGAUAUAUAAAUGUUCUUUUUUCUUUUCAAUUAAAAAAAAUAAAUGGGUUCAAAGAGAAAAAAAAAUACUAUAUUCUAGUGUCUACAAUAGUAAUUUUGAUUUAGGGCUAUUUUAAUCAUUAAAAAUUAUUCUUUAAAGUGGAUUUAAUAAGUAGUUUGAUGGAUUUAAAUAACCCCACCCUUUAUGAUAUUAAUACACAUUUAGCGUAUUAGAAACGGGCUGCCAAUAGCACCACUCAUUGACUAAAGUUAAGUUUUUUAACCGUUUAAUCUAAGAGUGAUAAAUAAAGUUCCUUUUCCAAGUUUAAAGACAUCCAUAACUAUUUUUUUUAAAAAAAGUCACUACAAUUAUUGUUUCUCCUAAUACAAACGCUCAAUCCCUUCUAUGUUCAAAUUUCUUAUACUGUGAUUGGGAUGACUUAUUUAAUAGUCAUAAAUGUUUACUUGUUCUCAUUUUCAUUUUUUUAAUUAUUUUUUGAGUUAAGUCUUUAAAAAUUAAACAAAUUACUUGUCUACAUUCAGUAAAAGCUUAAAUUUUUUAUUUAUAGCAUUAGAGGUUGAAAACCUUUUAAGCUGCAAAAUAUCUUUUAUUUAUUUAACAAUCUCAUUUCAUUUAUUUUAUAAUAUAAUUUUAAAAUAUUUACAUAUUAAAAUAAUUUUAUGUUUUUAAUAAUCUCUUUCAUUGGUAAUCAGACAAUAACUUUUUUAUUAAAAAAAUCUACUUAUCAAAAGUAUACUAAUAAAAAUUAUAUUUAAAUAACAAAUUCUGUUUAAAAAAGUAUAAUAGCGGACCCUUAAUCACGUAAAAAAACCCUUCAUUCAAGUAUCUAUUUAUUUUCAAUCUUGAAACAAAAAUUAUUUAUUUAUUUAACCCUCUGUACGGUUGUCGCCGUCGCUCUCCUUCUUCUACCUCGUGGUUAAAUUAUUUGCAAGCGAACUUCUCAUCGAUCGGAUAUACUGGUAACUCCUUCUAAUUGUUGUACAUGACAGCCGUCUUAUUUGUUUUUUUUUUUUUUUUUUUUUUUUGAUAAUUUUCCCCCUUGCUGGAUUUUUUUUUUCUAUUGGGUAAAUUUUUUAUCUGAAAACAACUAAGUAUGUUCCACUUGGUGGGAAAAAAAAAGGCUAAGAUGGAAAAUUUACAGUUAAUGAAGUUAGCAAAUGUCAGAAGGCAGUCUCCCAUUCAUCAAGGUAUUUUGAAAUUUAUCAUCAAUUUAGUAUGCUCAAAGUAAUAUAUAUAUAAACCUUGUUCUGUCGUCAAUAUUGGAUAUUUAGAAUCAUAUUAAUCUGUUUGUGUUUAUUGGCAUGCAGUGGCUUUUUGAACAACUUCGGAAUAGAAAUGUGAAGUGUUACAAAAGUCCUGAUAGAAAAUGUCGGAGGCAUUAUUUAAAUGAUAUAAAGACAGUGAAGUUCUCAUCUAAUGGAGAAGAUUGGCCGAUUAAUAUAGAUAAUUGGAGAAAUAGAAAGCAAUUUUAUCGUAGGAAUAGUUGAUAAAUGAAUUCUACAUGUUCAGUUGGGGUCCUUGGGGAAUGCAAUUUUCUAGGAAAAUUCGUAGUGAACGAGUUUGUGUUUAUGUUGUUGGGCCUGGCCUUAUCCUAACAGGGGAUUCAGUCCUAGGUGUAUUAUGUCGAGCCCAAUAGGGUCUUACUCUUAUGCCGAUGUGGAAGUAUAUUAACGGUCGUUUCUGGUACUUCAAUGUAAUUUAUUAAUUUCAAAAACAGUUGAGGGCUGUCAAUAUUUCAAGUUGCUUAACUUUAUCAAAAGUGUCGCUGACGUGUCGGCAGUCGACCCAUCAGCAUGGACAAUUAAGGGAUGAAGUCCCAAGUGACAUUUAAACCAACCAAAUAGAUUGUUAAUUAAAACACACUAUCGGCUUUCGUUUUGGGGCUUGGUGGCACGGGGCUUAAAUAUUUACCAUGUCACCGAUCCGAAGUCGAGCCGGUACCACGUUCUUGGAAUCAUGGAAUUGCAAUACAAAAUUGGUCUACAAAAAAAUGAGGUAUUCUAAAAUACCUCUCUUUUCUUGCUCAUGAAAUUAGUAUGUGUUACUAAUUACCUACUUCACUUAAUUAUAGCUAGCGUAAGAUGAGGGGGUUAACAUCUUAAAUUUUAAAUUUUUAUUCAUUAUUAACAAAUAAGGACUUUUUUAAGUUAUUAAACCAAUACACACAAGUUUGAUGGCACAAAUACGCAUUUAUCAUACUUUUAUUAAAUUAACGCACUGAUGACAUAAAUACACAUUUAUCAUAAUUUCAUCAAAUUGAUGACUAUAAUCUAUGUAGAGAGUACGAAAUGAAUAAAGUUGAUGACCAUAAUCUAUGGUAGCUAAAAUGCUGUGUUCUCUAUGAUGAUUUUAACAUUUAAUGAGGUAUAUUCCUGUGACAUUUUUUAGGUAUGCUGCCAUCCAUUAUUGAAUUGUUGAUGGGACCUUGACUGUAACCGGAGACAUUUUGGACAAAUAAAAAGCAAUUUUAUAAUAGGAAUAUAACUUUGUCUGCUCUCGUUACGGGCCUGCUGGUCUGCUUCUUAGACAUUUACCAUAUCACCAGUCCGAAUUCGAGCAGGUUCCACGUUCUUGAAAUCAAGCAAUUGCAAUAACAAACAUGCAUGCCGAUAAAAAGAAAUAUGAGGUAUUUUAAAAUACCCUCUCUUUUCGAUUAGGUAUGGCAAACAAAUCCGGACCCGGAUGAAUCCGGAUGAUCCGGACCGAAUUUAAACCCAUACCGGAUAUAUGAAAUAUCCGAAUCCGGAUGCAUUUUUUUAACCUGGAUUUUCGAAAUCAGGACCCGAAUUUUAGUGUUUUUAAUUAUUUAAAUAAAUAAUUUUUAAUUGUUAGUUAUAAAUAUAAAAGCAAAAAGUAAGUGAAAAAACAAAAGCAGCCCUAAAAAUCUAAGCCUCACGGGCUCAAACCAGCCGCAUCUUUCAUCUUCCUCAUCCCCUAUCAUCAAGGCAGCCACCCCCUCUAACCACACCAGCUCUGCAAUCUCUAGAUGUCUGAAGCUUCUCUGCUUUAUCGUCUCUCUUCUCUACUCUAGUUUUUUGUUCGGUAAUGGCAGGAGGUACUGUGGUAAUUGAGGUUUUGUGGGUCACUUAAGAAUGGGAAAUUCUACUUCUGUUUAUUAUGAAUGCUUUUGUGACUUGUUUUCUUUACUGUUUUAAAAAGGUUGCUUAGUUACUUGAACUGCAGUAUGAUUGUUGACUUAAUGGACUUGUCUUUUCAAUUUUAUUUGUUUUAUCAGGAUGCAACGUGCUGAAGGUAUUGAUUUUGGGGAAAAAAAUCUGGGUUUAGAACCUGCAAUCCGAGAACCCGGACUUUUCCGAGUUUAACUCGGCCCGGACCCUAAUUAGAAACAUGCGGGUUUGUACCUGGAUCCGGUAUAAUGAAUUGUUGUCCGGGCCCGGAAUCGGAAAGGCCAUACAUGGAUCCGGGUUUUGCCAUCCCUACUUUUCGUGUUGCUCAUGAAAUUAAUGUAUGUAACUAAUUAUCUACUUCACUUAAUUUUAACUAGUAUGUAACAGAAAAUAUUAACACCUCAAAUUUUAAAUUUGUAUCCAUUUAAUUAAUGAGUUAUUAUCUAAUAAAGGAUCCUUUAAGGUGCACUUAGUACGCUAUAUUACAUUAUAUUGUAUUAGUUCUAUUGUAUUAUGGUAUAUUACAUUAGAAUAUAUUUUAUUUAGUUAUAAUACGAUACAAUGUUUGAUAUAAUACAGACUAGACUAUAUAAUACCAUUUUUUUAUAUUACUUUAUAUUAAUAUUAAAAUAAAAUUUGUAUUUUUUAAAUUUAUUAAUAUGUUAGUGUUAUAUAUUAAUCUUUGAAAUUAAUUAUUAAAUAAUUUUAUUAAAUAUAAUAAUUUUUAUAACAUAAAAAUAAUUUAAUAUUAUACUAUCAUCAAAUAAUAUAAAUAUUAUAAUAUUAUAAAUAAAAAUGGAAUGUAUAAUACAAUACAAUAUAAUAUAUUAAAUUUUCAGUUUAAUUAUAAAUUAAUUUUUUAUUGAUAAAUUUUGAAUAUAAUUAUUUAAUUUAAAUUUAUUUUUAAAUUUAAUAUAUAGUAAAUAAUAAAUGACUAAAUAAUUAAAAUACUUUUUACAUAUUUAAAGUAAAAUAAUUAAAAUGAUUUUAUGUAAUAAAAGCAAAAUAAUGGAUUAUCACUUAUUUAUCAAAUAUUUAAAUGUUUAUUAAUAUUUUAUGUUAUUUAUUAUUAUUUAAUAUAACUAGAAAUCAAUAUUUAGUAAAUUUAAAUUUAUAAUAAAUUAUUGAAUAAUAAAAGUAAAAUAAUUAAAUUUAAAAAAUGAAAAGUAUUCUGAUACAAUAUAGCCUAAACUCUACUCUCUCGUGAGAUCAUUUUAUACUCCUUUCAUUGUAUUAGUUAUCUUUUUGAUAUAGUGUAAUGUCACUAAAAAAUUGUAGUCAAAUAUGAGUUAAUAUAAGAACAAUGUUUUAAUACAACAAAAUAUAGUAUAAUAUGAGAUGUCAAAAGCACUCUUUAAGUUACUAAACUAAUACACACAAAUUUAAUAGCAUAAAUACACACUUAUCAUGAUUUUAUUGAAUUGAUGACUAGGUUCCAUGUACAGAAAAUUAACAUUUUGAUCACAGCAUGGGAAUAAGGACAUAAUCUCUGCAUUAAUUGAAAUUAGUCUUGCAUACCGAAUAUAUAAACUUUGAGUAGCUCUGAAUUCACGAGCUAACUUAUAAAUACGAGCAAGUCAUGUGGAUUUCAAUACUGUAUGUUGUUAGGUUUGUCAUUCGUGAGUGGAGACAAGUCAAUCAAAUUUUUAGAGAAAAGCUAAGAAAUAAGAUUACCAAUCCUCUUUGUGGACCCGGUGGUUUGGGCUUAAAAGCUCCACUUCAUUUGCUCUCGGGUUCGAGAGGAUUGGUAGCUGAAAUGCGGUUCUAAGCGAUGUUUUUGACAUAUAAUGAGGUAUUCUAAAAUACCUUUUUUUCCUUAAAAAAUUAUAGUGAUUAUCCAGUCAUAAAUUUUUAUAUAAAUAUAUUUUAUACAAAUUGAUAUGAUAUUAAUUUAUUAAUUAAAUAAAAAUAUAAAAUAAUAAAAAUACAUCAUGUGGGUCAAGAGAUAUUUAAUUCAAUCAAUAAAUUAACGCUAUAUCAGUUUGUACAAGAAUUUGUGGCUAUAUCAUUAUUCAAAAAAUUAUAUUAAGAUUAUGGAGAUGUAACAGAGAGAUGGUAUUCUAAAAUACUUGUACUAUAUAUUAUCAUUUUUUUCAUUUUUUUAAAAAAGGGUAUGUGUAUAUAAAAACUCCAUUUAGUUUGAGAUGUUUUAAAUUACAAAAAUUAUAAAAUAGAAAGUGUAGUUGUAAAAUAAAAUUUGUUAGUAUUUAAUAAGUAUUUAAUAAAUAAUCUUUUUAAAAAUGUAGUAAAAAUAGUAUAUAUUUUUCAUCAUAAAAAUAAUUUAUAGAUGAAUGAUCUAAAUAUUUGUAAAAACAUGAGGAACUAUUUUACGAAUCAUGAAUCCUUACUAUUUAGCCCCGAAUUCAAAUAGCAGCCAAGAGACUCUUCAUUGAGGCAUUUCAUCAGGAUUAAUGCUACACAUCUCAAAUUUUUUAUCCCAAAAAGUUAUCCCAAAUGAUAUGUCAUUUAUCAAUUGGUUGGUGAGAUAAUAUAAUUAAUUCACUCGAAUCUUGUAAAGAAUUAUCAACCACUCAAUUAAUGACACAUCAUUUGGGAUAACUUUUUGAGAUAAAAAAUUUGGGAUGUGUAGCACUACUGUUUCAUCAGAUGGUUUCAUACAUCAAUUAAUCCCUUGUUGCUUUAACUGUAUAAAUACUUGUUCAAAUAACAAAGAAAGGAAGUUCUAAUUUUGAAUUUGGAGACUCCUUCAAUUAAUAAUUCUUUUUUUUUUCCAUCAACUUCCAAAAUAGCUGAAAAAUCAACUUUGCCCAAGUAAUAUUAUUAUAUGGGUCCGCCUACGUUACAUGUAGUGUAACGUACACUCAGUCUGUGAAAUUUUAUCUAGUCCCUUAUACUUUCUGUUAUUUAUAUUUUAUUCAUAAAUAUUAUAAAUUUUUUUGAAAUGUACAAUUUCGUUUAACCCCUUAUACACUCAAUUUUAUUUUAUUAAAACCCUAGAGUAUGAAUUCGCCCCUAUAAUAUUAAAUUCUCAAAAUAACCUCUAUUUAAUUAAAAAAUAUAAUUAUUGUUAAAUGAAUUAUAAUUAUAAUUAUUAUUUUAUUAUAAUCAUAAAUAUUUUUUUAAUAGAUUAUUGUUAUUAUUAAUAACAAGAAUAAAAAGUAUUAUAAUUAAUUAAUCUAUUAACAAUAAUUAAUAAUAUUUUUUAUUAAAUUGUUAAUAAUAAUAAUAAUUAAUGAUUAUCUAGAUUUUUUUUAAUAUUUGGUAUAAAACUUAUUUUUAUAAUAAAAAUUGUUAUUACUCACACACAAGUCACUAUCUAAACGCAAGGUAUUUUUCCAGCCUCCGCUCUCCUGGCAGCCUAAAAGUCCACACACGCAUGAGACCCCCUUGCCCAAACAACUCAAAAAAUAUUUAUUAUAAUCAUAAAUAUGUUAAUCGGAACUAGUUUAUUCAAAAUAAAAGUCUCCGCUCUCCUUUCAUAUUUUAUUAUAAUCAUAAAUAUAUUAAUUAUCAUUGAUUAUUAUUAUUAUUAACAAUUUAAUAAAAAAAUAUUAUUAAUUAUUGUUAAUAGAUUAAUUAUAAUGCUUUUUAUUCUUGUUAUUAAUAAUAACAAUAAUCUAUUAAAAAAUAUUUAUGAUUAUAAUAAAAUAAUAAUUAUAAUUAUAAUUCAUUUAACAAUAAUUAUAUUUUUAAUUAAAUAGAGGUUAUUUUGAGAAUUUAAUAUUAUAGGGGCGAAUUCAUACUCUAGGGUUUUAAUAAAAUAAAAUUGAGUGUAUAAGGGGUUAAACGAAAUUGUACAUUUCAAAAAAUUUAUAAUAUUUAUGAAUAAAAUAUAAAUAACAGAAAGUAUAAGGAGCUAGAUGAAAUUUCACAGGCUGAGUAGGCGGACCCUUAUUAUAAGUGGGCGGACCCUUAUUAUAUACUUUAAACCAUUAGAGGGUGAAAGUCCUAAUCGAAACUUUUAAAAGCUUCAAAUAUAUUAUUGAUUGAGACUCAACACCAGCUUUCGUUGCGUGCUUCGUGGUGUAUGGUGCUUAAUCAGUUACCAUGACACCGGUCCGCGUCUCGAGCCGGUACCAGAACAUUACAUACACACACACAUAUACAACAAUCAUCGUCUACCGACGGACUGAUGCCAAAAAAAUUUGAGGUAUUCCAAAAUACCUCUCUUUUCUUUGUCUGCUCAGGCCUCUAAUAAAUUAAUUGAUGUUUGUCACUAAUUACCUUACUAAUUAAACUAUUUACAAAUCGCAGCUUGAAAAUCUUAGUAACUUUGGGAACUUCAAAACCAAGUUUGCCAAAGUUUUUCCGGUAGCAUUACAAGAUCGCUUGACAUGUUCAACAUCAAAAUAAUUAUAGUGCACUCUAGAAUUCUAUAUCGAAAAAAAUAUUUUUGAUUUAUUUUCAAAUGAAAACCAAUUUUACAAUUUUUUUAAUAAUGUGAGCGGUAUUUGAAUCAUAUACCUCUUAUAUCAUCUCAAAAACUUAUUAAUAAAGAUGACAAAUAUCUAAUUUUGAAUAAAUAAUAUUCAUCCAAGUAUGAAUUCAUAAUUAUUCAUGAUGGAUAUAUCCGUAUAAUUAUUCAAUAUUUAAUACUGGAUAUGGAUAUAGAUUUUAUCUAUAGAGGUAUGGAUGUCCAUAGAUAUUUGAUUAUUAUAUAAAAUAAUAAAAAAUAAUAAGAAAUAAAAAUAAUAAUAUAGAAUAGUUAAAAUUAGUAUUAGAUUCCAAUAUCAAAUCAGAAAUAAUAAACAACUCAAAUAACAAUAUAUCAAAACUAUGAAUUUACAUAAAGAAAUUAUAAUAUGAAAUUACAAAUUAAUUUCAAACUAAAUACAAAAAGUUCAUUCUUCUAACACAUCAUUAAUCUCCAACCUAACCAUCAUCAUUAAUUUAAAAAAUAAAAUAAAGUAUUAAACAAGUGAAUAAUUUGUAUUAUUUAUGACCAUGAUCAUUCAUAAUUGAGCAUCACAACAAGCAUCAAGCACUAUUCAGAACAUGGUUGUGUCUCCUCUUCAUCAUCGUUAUUAGACACUUCUCCAUUCAUUUCUUCCUCGUUCAUCACCUUAUCUUUAGGAAUUCCACCUAUUUAAAAAAAUUAUAAAAUAUAAAGAAAAUAAAUAUUAUCAAAAUUAAAUAAAUGGCAAAAGUGAGCUGAAUUUGAUACCUUUUAAUUGAGCCCAUGUCCAAUUCUGAGUACACAUUAAGGCCUCUAAUGUACUCGGAUGAAAUCUACUACGAUGUGGACUUAAAAAUCGAGCUUCCACACUAAAAGCAGACUUGGAAGCAGAUUCUCUUGUUUAUAAAUUAGAACCUAGCAUUGCUUAAACCUUUAACGUGCUUGAACCAUUUUAACUCGCAAUUUAAUUUCAACAGGCCUAUCAAUGACGGUAUGAACAAUCACUCACUGAGAUUUGGACAUGGGCUAAUUUGUCCUAAUUUUAUAAUAAAAUUAGGACAAAUUUAUUGCAUAUAGAUAUGGGUUAAUUUUAUAAAAUUAGGAUAAAUUAAAACAAGAUCAAAGGCAAUGAAUCAAAAAAAAUUUGGGGAGUGUUGGUGAAGAAAAAGAGAUAGGUCUGAGUUACAUACAUAGAUGUCAAAAGAGAGAGAUUUGAGAUGCAGGUUUGCCUUUGCUUGUUCAUUUUCCUUAGUAAUAGAGAGAACAUAGAAGAAAAGCAAUGAACGGUGAGAAAUGAGCGGCUGACGAGCGAUGACGGUUGGCGAUAAUCUUAGGGUUCGCUAAAUUGAUAAUCUCUCAUUACAUUUUUUUUUAUUUUUUUCAUUUUAAUUUUAUAAAAUAUAUUUUUUUCACUUAAAAUCGGGUAAAUAGAGUGAUGAAUUAGAUUUUGGAUAUCCAUCAAAUAUCUAUAUCCAUCCAAUAUCUAAUUUGAUAUUUUAAAAUAUAUCCAUAUCUAUAUCCAAAAGAUUUUGGAUGGAUAUUAUUCAAUUUAAUUGGACUGGAUAUAUAGAUAUCCAAUUUGGAUGGACCAAUUUGCCAUCCCUACUCAUUAGAUUAACUAGUGUGCACAAGUAUAAUAGUGUAAAUGCAAGCACAUCUUCAUUUUAUUGAAUUGAUAAGCAAAUUCCAUGAAGACAAAGGUUAGUAUCUUUUAACAUGAUAUAAUGUUAAAGAGAUAAUCUCAUAUAGAUUGAAAAUAACUAGUUCCAUAAAUUGAAUAUGUAAGUUGUUAAGGUCAUUAUUUAUAAAGUUGGCAUUUUAUGGCAAUUCUAGUUAAAUUAGAAGUUUAUUUAUUGCAUAUAUUGUAAUAGGGAUUAAUUUAUUAAUUUCCUAAUUUAGUGAGAUUCCAAUUUAUUAGGAAUAUUUAUUUCCUAAUUUAAUUAAAUGUCUAAUUUAGUAAGUCAAUUAAUGGUGAGAUUCUGUAAUUGGCGCAUGAGAUCUAUUUAAGAGCAAGAAUUUGGUUCAAACAGGAUGUCAUUAAAUGCUCUAAAUAUUUCUUGGGAGACAAGCAAGUCAAGAAGAUCAGAUUUAUUCCUAUUCAGAUUCAUAAAAAUUAUAAGAGGAAAGAAACUCUUAUUUACAAAGAAUCUAAGUCUUUUAAUACUUUCUAUUUUGGUGAAACUCUAGUGCCUAUAUAAAGAGAGGUAUUUUCACAAUUGAAGUUGGCAUGCACAACAUAGAGCAUAAAGCAGAGAAGAAAAAUUCAGUCUCCUCCCUAAAGAAUCCGGACUUGGCGCACCAUAUUGUGUUAAUUUAUUUUCUUAUCUUUUUUUUCAUCUCUGUGGAAAGUCUAUGUAGAUCUUGGAUCACUAAACAUUAAGGAAUUGACAAAUUGCUAUUGGCCACUUUGCGAAGUGCCUUGAGAAUCGUGGAUCAAGAGGGGUAGCAAUUAUUCAAGAGAAGCAAAUUCAGUCUAAGGUUGAGUAAAUUGUAUGGUGAUAAAUUGAAAGUGAGAGUCUUAAAUUUGGUAAAUCCAUAGGUUGUAACAUCUCAACUUAGUGAAUUAUUUUUCAUAUGGGCGUGACCUCGUGGAUGUAGGAUUGAUUAAUCCGAACCACGUAAAAAUUUUCGUCAUUUAUUUUCUGCAUUUUAUUGUGUUUUUGGAAAAUUAAUAUUUUUUAUGCGGAUGAACAGUAAUCGUAAACAGUACUCGUGAACAGUAAUCGUAAACAGUACUUCUGAAAAAUUAAUUAAGUAAUUAAUUUUUAAUUUUUAAUUGCCUACAUUUAUUUAUGAUAGAUCUAAAUUCCUUUCAUAAGUUUUGAGUAAUUCUUAACUCAUAAGCUAACUUUUAAUUGUGAGUUACUUCAUGUCUUUUGGAGUUAAGUUGGGUUAUAGAAAUGGUUAAAAAAUUGAUGAAACCUAAAGACGUGAUUAUUUAUCACCAUUUGUCUUCUUCAUGGAGUUGUAAGAAUAUAAUAUUUGUUUAAUUUUUUUAAUGCUUUUCACAUAAUAGGAUAGUUAUUAGUGAAUUUUCUGUUAAAAAAAAAAAGAGAAACAUCUUUCUAUUUUAAUUAAAAGAUAAAAGAGAAGACCGAAUUUAAACUAUUUUUUAACCCCUACUCUGCCCUAUUACUUGAACUCAGACCAAGUGUUGGGGAGACAAAACAUCUUUUUGUUAUUGCAUUAUUUUGGGGAAACAAAAAUUCUAUUAUUUUAUUGAAAACAAAUAAAAAAUGUAAACACAGCACUUGCCCCGCCAUUGACUUGGUGGUAUGGUGCUAACUUGUUCAGCAAGCAUUCCAUUAAGUCCAUCCUUCGAGUGGGGCAAGUAUGCAACAGUUGCAGUAGAUUGCAAGUGACCCUGCAUUUUAGAAAAAGAGGUAUUCUAAAAUACCUCUCUUUUAUUAAUUAGAUCUAUACGCAUACUAUUUCUCUUUUUUUUUUUUUUUUUUUUUUUCACUUCUUCAGAAAGUGUAAACACACACUAAGUCUCAAUUAACAUCGUGCUAGUGUUCCAAGUCAUAACGGCGUGAAAUAAAAGAUGAUAUAAAAUUUGAUAGUCUUUGAUAUUUAAUAAUUUUAAAAUAAAAAUAAUAAAAAUAGUGUAAAUGACUCAUUAGUGAUGAUAAAAUCUUCUACAGUGUCUCACCCCAAAUAAGAUACGUAUUAAUGAGUUUUUAUAAAAUGAGAAAAAAAUAAUUCUAAAUUCUUAAAUAGGGUGAGAUUACAUUCCCCACCCUACCCUCUUAUAUGUAAAACAUGUAUUUUCUUCAUUAUUUAUUCAUAUAUUUUAUAUAUUUAUAUGAUUUAGGGUAUUGUUCCAAUAUGUUGGAGAUGUUAUUCUAUUUCUAAUAACUUAAAUACUUUACAAAUAUUAGUGAUGGUCUUAUUUAAGUCAUUGUGUGUGUGUGUGGGGGGGGGGGGGGGAAGGAGAUAGGGUGAUAUGAGAAAAUUGGUCUACUAAAAUUUAUUAAGAACGAGGUAGAGAACGUGAACCAAAUUCUAAAUGAGGUGGGAAUGGAGAAGACCCCCUCACUUCAUCCUCAUUCAUAGUUUCCAAAAUUCAAAGGAUAAAACAAAAUCACUUCAACUUCCAAAACGAUUCUUGCAGUACUUAAUAAGUACUUUACCACUAUUAAACAACUAAUCGCAAAACUAUGUAGAAGUUUAGGAAAAACAAUCUGGAAAAAACAAAAAGAAUAAUGAAUAGAUUAAUGAUUUAACUGAUUAAAAUUAAGUCAAAAAAAUAAAUAGCCCCUUAAUGUCCUUAGAAAAGGGAUUUCAUAAGAAAAGAAUGGGAGUGCCAAUAACACUCACUCUUUAAUUUAAAAAUUCAAAUAAAGUUACUCUUAAAAAUUAAUUUAACAACCUUAUUUUAUUCUUUUUAUAAGAUAAUUUUAAAACACUUAAUGUUAUUUUAUAAUUUUUUAAUAAAAUUUAUUACCGACAACUAAAUAACACAAAUUUUAGUAUAAUAUAAAAAAAUACAUUACAUUAGAACUUGUAUUUUGUUUUUAGGGAUUCGAUCGGAACAUUCAUAAAUAAAUAUAUAAAAAUAAAUAAAUAAAUAUAUAUAUAUAUAUAUAGUAGUUUUUCAAUCAGGGAUCACUGACUUUAAUAAAGUCAGGAAUUAACUAAAAGACAAAAUAAACACAGACUUCAAUGCACUGUUUAUUUGUCUUUUAGCUGAUCCCUGACUUUAUUAAAGUAAGGAAUCCCUUGGAAAACUACUAUAUAUAUAUAUAUAUAUUCAAUUUUGAAAUAAUAUUAUUUAUCUAUUUAACCCUCUGUUCGGAGUUGUCGCCGUCCCUCUUCUUCUUAUGUAAGCAAACUUCUCAUUUAUCGGGUAUGCCGGUAACCCUUUCUGUGUUGCACAUGACAGCCCUGCCAUUCGAAUUUUCAUUGAAUUUUAUAUGAUAAUUUUUUUUUAUUGGAUAAUUUAUGCUCUGCAAACGGCUAAGUAUACUAUUCUACUUGAUUUGGGGGGGGGGGGGGGGGGGGGGGAAUUAGUGCUGAAGUUAGAAAAUUUAUAAUUUAUUACAUGUCUUUUGGGGUUCUUUCUUUUUCAGAAUUUAUUGAUGAUUAUAAUUCAUUCUUUUAUGAUGAUGCAAAUAUGGGCAUGAAUAUUAUUACUGUGUUGCAGAUCAUGGAUGAGACAGUUGAUGCGGUGGAUCGCAUAGCAGAGAUGCCUACUUUUAUUCUUCAUCAUAUAAUUUCGUGCCUCCAUGCAGCAGAGGUUGCUCGAACAAGUAUCUUGUCAAAGAGAUGGAAUCAGUUGCGUAUUUCAUUCCCCAUAUUGGAAUUUUGAAAUGGGUUUUAUGUAUGGAGACUGGGAAGCCAAGAAUUUGUAAAGUUGGUUGAUACUUCCUUGCAGCGGUUCCGCGAGAUCAAGUUAGUUAUACAGAAGUUGAUAUUGUAUUUAGAUCUUUCGAAUGAUAAUGUAUUGUCUUCUCAGCUUAUUGAUAAAUGGAUAGGAUUGGCUGUAGAGAAUGGGGUAAACAAUCAUACUUUGUUGUCAGAAAAGAUGAUAUUAAUGGGUACAUUGUACUCUGUUGUCAGAUUGAGCUGCCCUCGAGUUCCAUAAGCUUAAAUUCUCUUAAAAAGCUAACACUACGCAGGGUCUAUAUGAAUUAACAGAUGAUCGAAAGGCUUAUUGGUGAACGCCAUUUACUUGAAGAUUUGUACAUUUCCGGCUGUUCGGGUUUCAAAGCAUUUGAGUGUCUCCAAAGCUCACAAACCCAAGAUUAUGACAAUUGCGGAUUGUCAGUCAAGCGAACUCAAAAUGACUGUUGUUCCAAGUCUUUAACAGUUAACCUUCAGAACGGUCAUUGUCCAGGCACAUUUUUUGCGUCCAAAUCCGAAAAAGUUAAUUCUCUUUGGCUAGUUCUCAAAGACCAGGAGUUUCAUUGGCUUAUUUCGAAGUUUCCCUGGCUUGAGGAUCUGUCUGUGAUGAGAUGCUUUUUCAUCGAAAGAAUUAUGAUUUCAAGUGGAUUGCUCAAGCACUUACUAAUUGAGUUCUGUGAAAGUUUUAAGGCAGUGGAUCUUGGAAUCCCCAAUUUGCUUUCUUUUACUUUUGAGAGUACUCAAAUUCCCACCAUAUCAAUUACAACGUCUCAAUUAUGUCCAUGGAAAGUACACUUUGAACUUAAAGGUGACAUUGACCAUUGGUACCUUAAGCUAAAAGAAUUUCUUGCAGCGUCUAGUCAAAGUAGAAAAAUAGUCAUAGGUCUGUAGAAAGAUACCUGCAAGGUAAGUUUAUAAGUUCUAUAUAAAUUGGUUAUUGCUUUUUUACUUUUGUAUCACAUUCUUAAUUGUAAUUUUCCCUUUUUUUUGUGAUUUAUUUAGAUGCCAUUUAGUUCAGAGAAAUUCAAAAAAACAUUUCCAUUCACUCCCUUUUCGAGUUAGGGACAUGAAUUUACACUAUAAAUUCUCAAUACAAGAGUACAUAAUUUUUUCAGAUGGUCUUUUCUGGAUUUGUUAUCCCAAGUCUUUGCGUCUACCUACAAUGUCGGAAGGCAGUCCUGCAUUCCUCGAGGUAUUUUGAAAUUUAUCAUUAAUUUGAUACGUUCGGAGUAUUAUAUAUUUAAACUUUAUUCUGUCGUCAAUAUUGAAUGUUCAGAAUCAUAUUAAUUUGUGUGUGUUUAUUGGAAUGGAGUGGCUUUUUGAACAACUUCGGAAUAGAAAUUUGAAGUGUUGCAGAACUUUUCAUAUAAAAUAUUGGAGGCGUUAUUUAAAAGAUAUAAAGACGAUGAAGUUCUCAUAUAGUGGAGAAGAUUGGCGAUAUUAUACAUAAUUGGAGAGGUAAUUUGCUAUUUUUCCAAGUACAUAUCUUAGACAUCCAGAUGCACAUUUUACACUCAGUCUUGAAUGAUGUUUUGAACUUAAUGACAAAUCUUGAGAUAUAUUUCUGUUGCAUCUUUUAGCUAUUCUGCCCACUGCUAUCCAUUAUUGAAUUGUUGAUGGGUCGUUGACUGGAGCUGGCAAUAUAUUAAUGGUCGUUUUCGGUACUUUAAUGUAAUUUAUUUGUUAAUUUCAAAAAAGUUUAGGGCUCUCAAUAUUUCAUUUUGUUUAGCCCUGUCAAAAGUGUUGCUGAGAUGUCGGCAGUCGGCACAUCGGCAUGAGCUCUUGGGAUCAAUCUUGAAUGAUUCCCUGUAAUAGCAUGGCUUUGAUUAUAAUUCAAAACCUGGAGUUAUUUUUAUUAUGGUAAAUGUUUGGGCAAAGUUCAUUCAAUUAGUAAUUAUUUUUUCCCCAUUCUAUAUCACUUGGAGUAAACUAUAAUCCUUUCGUUGAUUGCCUUAUAGCAGCAAAGGGUCCAAAAACUUCAACAAGCAACUCCAUUUUCCCCAGCAUCGCCAAUCCCACAACAUCUCCCUUUCAUUUCUCCACUAUGUACCACAACCUCUUACCAAUCUCCUUCACUUUCUCUGCCACUAGCAGCUCGAGCCUCGAAGAUCGAUCGUCUGUCACAAAGUUUUCUUAAAUCCAACCCUGCUCUGCCAAGUCCAGCCGCAGCUGGCCGCAACUUCUUCAAUUGUUUGGGUAUUAUUAUUUGUAUUAUAUAAUGGUGUAUUAUAUUAGAGUAUUUUUCACUAAGUUGUAAUGCAAUACAAUAUUAGGCGUACUCCAAACUAUAUUAUAUAUAAUAUUGUUUUGUAAUAUUAUUUUAUAUUAAUAUUAAAAUAAAAUUUGUAUUAUUCAAAUUUAUUAAUAUCUUAGUGUUAUAUUAUUAAUUUUUUAAAUUAAUUAUUAAAUAAUUUUUUAAUGUUAAUUUUAUAACAUAAAAAUAAUUUAAUAAUAUACUAUCAUCAAAUAAUGUAAAUAUUAUAAUAUUAUAAAUAAAAUAAAAUAUACAAUACAAUAUAUCAACUUUUAAAUUUAAUUAUAAAUUAAUUUUUAUUGAUAAAUAUAGAAUAUAAUUAUUUAAUUUAAAUUUAUUUUUAUAUUUAAUUUUUUAGUAAAUAUUAUGACUAAAUAAAUUAAAAUAUUUUUUACGUAUUUAAAGUAAAAUAAAUAAAAUGAUUUUAUAUAAUAAAAUAAAAUAAUGGAUUAUCAUUUAUUUAUCAAAUAUUUAGGUUUAUUAAUAUUUUAUAUUAUUAUUUAAUAUAAAUAUAAAUCAAUGUUUAGUAAAUUUAAAAUAUGAAACGUGUUCUAAUAUAAUACAACCUACACUCUACUCCUUCAUGAGAUUAUGUUAUACUCCUUUCAUUCUAUUAGUCAUCUUUUUAAUACAGUGCAAUGCUACUAAAAAAUUGUAGCCAAAUAUGAGAUAGUAUAAGAACAAUGUUUUAAUACAAUACAAUAUAGUGGAAUACAAGAUGCCAAACGCUUCUUUAAGUUAUUAAACUAAUAUACACAAAUUUAAUAGCAUAAAUGAACACUUAUCAUGAUUUUAUUGAAUUGAUGACUAUAUUCCAUGUAGAGAAAAUUAAUAUUUUCAACACAGCAUAGGAAUAAGGAUAUAAUCUCUACAUUAAUUAAAAUUAGUCUCACAUAUCGAAUAUAUAAACUUUAAGUAACUCUAAACUCCCGAGAUUAAGUAAUGAAUAUGAGUAAGUCACGUGGAUUUCAAUAUCAUACGCUGUCCAGAUUAUGCAGAGUGGAGGUAGAGUUAAACACAUUUUCACUCUUGAUGGACUCCAUGUUUUGGACUUAAAAGCUCCACUUCAUUGGUCUUGGGUUCGAGGGGAUUGGUAGCUAAAAUGUGUGUUCUAAGUGAUGUUUUUAACAUAAAAUGAGGUAUUCUAAAAUACCUUUUUUCCCUUAAAAAAAUUAUAUUAAAGAAUAUGGAGAUAUAAUAAAGAGAUAGGUAUUUUAAAAUACUUGUAUUAAAUAUUAUCGAUUUGUUCUUUGUUUUUUAAAGGGUAUGUGUAUAUAAAAAUUCCUUUUAGUUUGAGAUGUUGUUUUAAAUUACAAAAAAUUUAAAAUAGAACCUCUAGUUGUGAAAUAAAAUUUAUUAGUAUUUAAUAAAUAAUCAUUUUAAAAAUGUUGUAGAAAUAGUAUAUAUUUUUCAUCAUUCCUCUAUAAAUGGUAUAUAGUAGAAAUAGGACAUAUUUUAAUAUCCAUUUAUAGAUGAAUGAUCUAAGCAUUUGUAAAAACGUGGGGAACUAUUUUACGAAUCAUGAGUCCUUACUAUUUUGCUCCUGAAUUCAAAAAAAGCAGCCAAGAGACUCUUCAUUGAGGCAUUUCGUCAAAUGGUUUCAUACAUCAAUCAAUCAGUUGUUACUUUAACUGUAUAUAUGCCUGUUCAAAUAACAAAAGAAAGGAAGUUCUAGUUUUGAGUUUCGAGACCCCUUCAAUUAAUAAUUUCUUUUUCCCAUCAACCUUCAAAAUUGAAAACUGAAAAACCAACUUUGCCAAAGUAACAUGGCAAAUGCUAAGUUACAAUAAUUGUAACAUACAUACUUUAUGUGAACCACAUAAAUUGUGGAUCCUAUAAUUUUGUGUGGUUCACAUAAGAGAUGUAUGUUACAAUUAUUGUAACUUAGAGGCUCCCAAGUAACAUUAUUAUACUUGAAAGCAUUAGUAGGUGAAGUCCUAAGUGAAACUUUUAAAAGCGUUCAAAUAUAUUGUUAAUUGAGAUUGAAUGCCAGCUCUCGUUGUGUGCGUGGUGGUGUAUGGUGCUUCAUCAUUUACCGUAUCACCGGUCCACGUUCGAGCUGGUACCAGAACAUCAUACACGCACAUAUACAACAAUCAUUAACUACAGACGCAUUGAUGCCAAAAAAAUUUGAGGUGUUUCAAAAUACCUCUCUUUUCUUAAUCCUGCUUACGCCUCUAAUAAAUUAAUUGAUGUUUGUCACUAAUUACCUUACUAAUUAAAUUAAUUACAAAUUGCAGCUUGAAAAUCUUACAAGUUUGGGAACUGUAAAGCCAACUCUGCCAAAAUAUUUGUAGUAACAUUGCAAGAUCGCUUAAAAUGUUGAACAUCAAAAUCUUUAUAGUUAUAGAGCACUCCAAAAUUCUAUUUCGAUUAUUUAUGAUGAACAAUAAUAUAUAUAUAUAAAUGCACACACAUCAUGAUUUUUUGAACCGAUAAGCAAAUUUCAUGAAGAAAAAAAAUUAAUAUAUUUUAGCAUCGGAUAAUGCUAAAGAAAUAAUCUGAUAUUGAUUAAAAAUAACCAGUUUCAUAAACUGAAUAUAUAAGCUUUGAGUAACUCUUAGCUCACAAGCUAAUUUUUAAUUAUGAGUCCCUCCAUGGUUUUGGGGGUUAAGUUGGGUUGCACAAAUGGUUAAAGAAUUGAUAAGACCUAAAAAUGUGAUUGUUUAUCACCAAUCAUCUUUCUCUAUGGACUUGUAAGAAUAUAAUAUUUGUUUAAUUUUUUUAAUGCUUUUCACAUAAUAGGAUAGUUAUUAGCAAAAUUACUAUUUAUAUAACAAAAAGGAAUAUCGAGGAAAUAGGUAAAAAAAACACAUGAGUGUGGUCGUUAAUGAAUUUUUUAUAAUUAAUGAGAGAUUUAAAAUGAAAAGGUAGAAACAUCUUUCUAUUUUAAUUAGAAGAUGGAAGAGAGGAUAAAGUUCAAAUUAAUUUUUUAACCCCCACUUUUCCUAAGACUUGAACUCAGGCCAAAUGUAUUAGGGGAGACAAAACAUCUUUCUAUUUGUAUUGCAUUAUUUUUGGGAAACAAAAAUCCUACUAUUGCAUUGAAUACAAAUAAACAAUGCAAACACAACACUUGCCCCUCCAGUGACUUGGUGGUAUGGUGUCAGCUUGUUCAAAAACCAUUCCAUCAGGUCCUUCUUUCGAGUCGGGGCAAGUAUGCAACAGUUGCAGCAAAUAGCAAGGUGAUCCUGAAUUUUAGAAAAAGAGGUAUUCUAAAAUCCCUCUCUUUUAUUAGAUACACUAGAAAAUAGAACCGUGCUUCACGCGAUUUUAAAAAAAAAAUUUAGUAUUAUUUUUUUUUAUUUUACACUUGAUGAAACUAAUAAAAAAUAUGAAUUGAUUUUUUUUAAAGAUGAGGCUGCCUUAUAAAAAAUAUAAAAAAAAAUUAUUAGCCAACAAUACAAAUAAAGAAGCAAUACAAAAUAAAGAAUAAAAUGAGAGAAUAUAUUAUUAAGUGAUUUUAUUCAUUCCAAUUAUGUGUGUACAAAAUUAAAAGAUGAGCUCUCAUUUUAUAGUUACAUAAUCACUCCAUGAAAUUAAUGAAAAAUUAUGGAUCAUAAUUCCUUGUGAGAUAGUGGGAGUUAUAGGGAAGCUAAAGGUUGCUAAUGGGAGAUAGUGAGGAGACUAAGAGAUGUAUGUUAUGAACAUCUACAUUUAUUUUAAUAAAUGUAUAACACUCCCCUUGGAUGUUCAUUACAAAGAAUAUGCCUCAUUAAAAUAUUUACAUAAUUGUUAUUGUGUAAUAACAAUUAAAUUAAUUAUGAGAAGAUGAAAAGUCAAAUCUAAAAAAAAAUUUCUCUAUUUAUUAUAUAAUAGAAAAUAUAAAAAGAUGAGAAAUAAAGAUGCUACAUCACAUUUUGUAGACUCAGCUUUAUAUAUAUAUAAGCUAUUAGCCAGCAACAAAAAUAAAGAAGAAAGGCAAGAUAAAUAAUAAAAUGAGAGAAUAUAUUAUAGAGUGAUUUUAUUUAUUCAAUUGUGUGUGUACAAAAUAAAAAGAUGAGCUCUCCUUUUAUAGUUACAUAAUCACUCUAUGAAAUUAAUGAAAAAUUAUGAAUCAUAAUUUCUUGUGAUAUAGUAGGAGUUAUAGGGAAGCUAAAGGUUGCUAAUGGGAGAUAAUGGGGAGACUAAGAGAUAUAUGUUAUGAACAUCUACAUUUUUUUAAUAAAUUCAUAACACUCCUCAUUGGAUGUUCAUUAUAAAGAAUAUGCCUCAUUAAAACAUUUACAUAAUUGUUAUUGUGUAAUAACAAUCAAAUUAAUUAUGAAAAGAUGAAAACCCAAAUUUAAAAGAAAAUUUCUCUAUUUAUUAGAUAAUAGAGAGUAUACAAAGAUGAGAAAUUGUGACGCCACAUCACCUACUCAAGUCCUA